UUUACUCUUUUUUUUUUUAAUUUUUGAGGCGGGCUAAAACAUGAAUUUUGAUUGCAUAUAUAGAUCAUAGUUACAAAAUUAUAAUAUAAACAAAAAAAAAAAUCAUUAAUUUCAUUUCAAAUUUGAAUAUACACUACAUAUAAGAAAAAAGUGUAAAUUAUAUUACUAUCAUGGAUGCAAAAAAUGAAACUAAUUCUGUAAAUGCAUAUUACCAUAAAUUAAAAAAGAAAAUAAGGUUUUGCAAAAGAAGAAUAUUGAGAGAGAUCAGAGAAAAACACACACACCCACCCACCCACCAACAGGCUUACUUACACAAUGUGAAGUGAUGAUAAUAUUGCAUCUCCUUGAGCAAAAUCAAUAAGAAAUGGAGAUGGCUAUGCAUGGAAAUCACUAAAUAUACAUCACAAAAAAAAAAAAAAAAAAAAAAAAAAAGAGGAGAGAAAUAUCAAGAAGAGAUUAAAUUAAUGGUUAUUGCACUUUGAGGGAGUAGUGGUGGAUGUGGAUGAUGCUUCUGCAGGAGCACUUGACUUCUCUUGUUGCUUCUUCCAUUUCUCGAUCUCCUUCAACAGCAAGCCCUUGCAUUCCUCCUCUCCAUCAUCGCGAUCACUUUCCUUCAUGAAACGAACAAGCUUUCCAUUCUUAAAAUUGUAACCUAGGUUAAAACACAUCCUUUUAAUCUUGUUCUCUCAGGUUUUUCUUCCUCCUCUUUUCUGGGCGGUGGAGCUAAGAAUCUAAGAGAAACAAUGGGAGCUUUAUCCUGACAGUUUCCGUAAGGUUCUCCAUACUUUAUAUUAAAAUCUCGAGAGUGUUUUGGGUUUGUCGCUGAGAAACGACGUACGGUGAAUACAAGAAAACGAUUGAUCACCUUAAGAAUAAGUUAAGUCACAAGCAAACAAGUGAUGGGAAAAGCUAAAUGAAGCCUAAAUAUCAGGAUCAUCUAUGUGAAACGUUGCUUUAAUGAAGCUUUUCAUGCCCAGCAAACUCCCACGUACGGCGGUUCUCUCCAUCUCUUGCUUGCUUUUUAAGGCAGCAAUUUCUACAUUAAUGUUGACAUAUUUAUGCAUGGAGACAUUUCCUCUCCGGAAAAGUGUAGAAAGAUUUUCCAAUGCCACCAUGAUGCAGUGAUUAAUGUUCGAUAAUGAUAAUAAUAUGUUAAUUUACAUAAAUAUAUGAAAGAGACUCCUUAUUCUAUUUCUUUUUCCCAUAAUUAGAUUCAUCCUAAGCUAACGGUUUUGUACCUCAAGUGAGAUAAAUCUCCAAUCAUUUCGCCAUCAUAUUUUUUUUUAUUUCCUUUUUUCACUUAACAAAAAACGUGCCAUGAUGUGGAUCAUAAUGUCAAGUACUUGCAAUAUAUAUAUAUAUAAACACAUAUAUUUCCUUUUUUUCCUAAACACAUAGAUUGAAAUAGAAUGUCACAGCAUUGUUGCAAGAAUCCAUUUUACUUCAUUCAAACCUCUGCCUGUAUACUUUUACUCUGUUAAGUUUUGGAGCUUUCAGAUUCAGGGUUUCAAACAAAAACAAAAACAAAAACACUUUGUUUUAUUUAUUUCUCUUCAUGUUCAAACAAUGGUUGCUUCUCGCGAUUGCUCAAUUCCUCACGGCAAGAAACGUAGAACUAUAAAUCCUCAUGACUCGAAGAAGAACCAUAAAAUUUUAAUGUGUAAAAUGGAAACUUGUUUCAAUAGCAUAGUUAUUAAACUCGGCUCGAGGGUUGACCCGGUCAAGGAGCCGGGUCCCGAGUUUUAUGGGUCAACCCGGAAAAAUUAAAAAAAAAUUAAAAAUUUCAUAUUUCAUAUGAAAAAAUUAAAAAAAAAUCAAUAUGAAUAUAUGUUAUACAUGUUGUAAAUAAUGAAGUUUAAAAGAAUAUUUUAAAAAAAAAUUUAUCACACAUUGAAAAGAUACUAUGUUAUGCUUUUAAGUUGAAGUAUUUAAACCAAAAAAAUUUUUUAUCCCACAUUGAAAAAACAUAACUUUUUUUCUUGUGAAUAUAUAUAUAUAUAUAUAUAGGGCUUCAAAUCACAGAUACUAUGUUAUCUUUUUAAGUUGAAGUAUUUAAACUAAAACUUUUUUAUUUUAUAUUUAAAAAACAUAAUUUUUUUACAUUGAAAAUGUGAAAAAAAAACUCUUCUGUUUCAGUUUAUUUCUUAUUAUUAUAAACUAUAAAAUAAACUUUAUGCAUUUAUAAUUUUUUUGAAUAAAAAAACUAAAAUAAUUAUUUUAAUGAAUUGAAAUAAAAACCUUGCACGUAGAUUAGACAAUUACCGUCUCUUCAGUCUUCACUCUUCACUCCCCCCCCCCCCGGUCUCUCUCUAUCUAAAAGGAAAAAGAAAAAAAUUCCUUCACUCCCCCCGCUCUCUCCAUCAGAUCCCACUUUCACCGGCAAUCGCCAUGUCCUCAGCAACCACUGCUCGAUCCCUUCCUCUCCUCGCCUUCAUUUCCCUCCUUCUCCUCUCUCCCGCUCUUCCCCUGAGUCAGUUGUAACUCGCAGAGCUCGUUAUUUAAGUUUCUUGUGUUUCGUUCCCGAAUUUGACUCAGAUCUGUUAGUUUUUGCAGGAUUUAAAUGUUAGGUUGAUUGAUGUUCAUGGAUCGAGUUUUGAUUUCACAAAUGGCAGUUUAUACAUUACAAACGUCGGGUCUCGUCCGAAUUUUCCCGGGUCGCCCGGGUCAUGGGUCGACCCGCCAGGUUGACCGGGUCUUGCCGGUUUUUUGCAUUUACCGGUCUUUCUCUUAAUACCCGGACCGGUCCAGCUACCGGGUCGACCGGUUUCCAGAUCAAGCGAGUCUGGGUUUAAUAACUAUGUUCAAUAGAGCUGGAGGUCUCUUCGGUUAUAAGAAAUAGCUGUGAAAUUCAUUUCAACAUAUGGGCCGAUUGUACAUGGAGCCUAUGACCAGUCCAUUAUUAGAGUCCAAUAUAUUGAUUAGGGCAUCUAGCUCAACGUAUAUAUGUUGGGCCCAAUAAACAAUCGCCCUGGGCCUGGGUUUGAUAAAUCAUUUAAUAUUUGCAUAAUUCACUCUCGUUAUCUUUUCUCCAUGUAUUGGUCCAAUGGCCUCUUAAUUAAUGGGUAAAUUUUCUUAAUUUGUAUGCAUAACAUUUUUCAUAAGUCAAACACUUACUCUCUAUUAAUAUUUCCUAUAUAUAAAUCAAUACACGAAUUAGUAAGUCGUAAUAAUUCCUAUAGAAAUUGAUUUUCCAAUCUGACAUGAGUACAGGAGCUAUGAAACCCCGUUUUGGAAUUGAAAAGGUGAAUAGAAUUUAGAAGACACCGUUUUGAAAAUGCAGGGCAACUCACAUUUCAUGAAAAUUUUAAAAUAAAUUAUUUAAAUUUAAUUUUUUUAUAUUUUCAAAUUAUUUUAAUGUGUUAAUAUUAAAAAUAAUUUUAAAAAAAUAAAAAAAUAUUAUUAUAAUACAUUUCUAGAUAAAAAAAAAACAAUCGUUAACAUGUAUCUCAAAAUAACCUUGGCUUAUGAAUUGAGUUCGGCAGCAACUUCCAUCUACAACGAAUUCUUAUACAAGUUCUUGUUAGAGAACAAUCUACAUAUUACAGUAAGAAUAAAGUAGUAAUUAAUUAUAUCAACCAUAAAUAAAUAAAUAAAUAAAUAAAAAGUUAAAUAACUUUCACAUGAGUAUAUCCAUUGUUCCACCUCUCCACUCGGGCAUAUGAUCGCUGAUAUAAUCCAUGCAGUUGCCUUUCCCACACUUCCCUUGGAAAACUGUUCUUCCUAUCCUCCGAUGGAAGCCCUUCAAACGCAAAUCCUACAGAAUUAACCAUACCCAACUCGAGAUCAUACAUUCUACGAGCAAUUGGAUCAGACAAUGUCUCAUAAGCCUUUUGAAGCUCAACAAAUCGCUUUGUAGACUCUUCUUUUGCUGAGGGAGGACAUACAUCCGGGUGGUAUUGCAGAGCCAUGCUUCUAUAAGCUUUCUUUAUCUCAUCAAACCCUACAUUCUGAGAUCCAAGAGAAAGAACUUCAUAGAAGUUCAUCUUUUUUCGAAAUGCUACCUCGUUAGUCGCCGUCUUGCAUAAAAUUGUCCUGUGCUUAUAGGAUUUUUGCCUUGACCAUUUCUUCAUCAUAAUUGGCAACUUAUUUGCUGUCCUAGGACUUACUUGCAGGGACAUCUCCAUUUGAAUUUCGGAGCCCGCCCGAAUCUGAGAGAAUUAGCGAUCGUAAAUAGCUUGUAAGCUGUGAGUGGAAGAAGUGAAGGGCUUGUGUGUGUGUAUAUAUCUAUAUAUAUAUGCUUAAAACGCGGUUGUAUUUUCAGCGUUUUGACUGCAAUUUUGGCCUGGAGUCGUCGUCGUCGUUCUUCCCUACGUAUUCUUGCUUGUUUAUAUUAAUUAAUUAAUUAAUAAUGAUAUUUCUUGAUGGCCUUACCUUUCUCUCAAAGUUUUUUGUUUUUAGACUGACCUUGUGCAAGUUAAUUUGUCCAUGGAAAUUAAGCAGAUUCCUAGGAUGACUAUUCCAGCACGAGUCCAUCAACCACAAGAAAUAACAGGAACGACAACAUUUUGCAUGAAUAUUAUAAAUGUAAACGACAGUAGAGAUCCCAAAAGAUAUGUGGGUCCACCAAAUAAUAUAUACACACACGCGCGAAGAUGGCAACACACUAAUUUUCUAUGUUAUUUACAAGGUGGUCAAAUUCCAUCCGGGCUCUCCAAUAUCUAAAUAUCUGUAUUUUUUAUUUUAAAAUAAUAUUUUUUAAAUUUAUUUUUGACAUUAAAAUAUUAAAACAAUUUUUUCAAAAAUAAUUUCAAAAUAUAAAAUAAACAGGAUCUGAGUAUCAGGUAAAAACACAAUAGAAAUAUGUAUAGAAGUAUAGAUUGCACCUAAGUUCUGUAUUCUGCUGGCCGGCCGGCCAAGUUUUGGUGUCGAGAAUUCUCGCGUUUAUUCUAGGCAAUCAACUAUUUUCAACGCACCUUGUACGUUUAAAAAACUCAAUCGAAAAGGCUAAAAACUCACGUAUACUCUCUAAUUAAUAAUUUUUCAGACCGAAAUCAGCUGUAUGGUGCACAAAUUGUUAGUCAACUACAUUGUACUAAUUAAUUAUUAAUUAAUCCAAAUAUUAUAUGUUUUAAUAGGUCCAAAAGUAUAUUGUUUUUCGUAUUCAACCCAAAAUUGAAAACACCGAUAAAUAUAUAUUUCUAUUCUUUUCUGAGCUUCCAUGCCAAGAAAUCAGUCCACAGGAAAGUCACAGUACUGACCAUCACCAGGUUUUUUUUAUAUAUUUAUUAACAUGGAUAUUUGACCAGCUUCCGCGUACCUCGACUAAUUUCACGGAAUCUGAAGUUAACGAUCAUAUAAGUUUUCAGUAAUUUUAAAAAGACUCGAACUCGUGAUAAAUUUAAAACCUGAAUAGUUGAGUUAUAUUUUUUUUAUUAUUAUUUAAGAUAUAUGUCUUGGCCUCUUGUAUAGCCGUCCUGUGGAUUUGGUCGGGACUUGGCCACUUGGGAACAUGCCUGAAUGAAAUUAGCAAUGGCAAAGCAUUAUUAAAAUUGAAUAUUCUUACUUGGAAAUGCAGCUGGCUAGGCUCAAUCACGAUAUACAAGGACAAGACUAGGGCAUUAUAAGUUUAAUCAGUAGAGAGUAUAUUAUUCUUUAUCCCUUGCUUUUGAACGUGAUUAUAAUUUAGUCCUUCGUGUUUUAAAAGCUAUAACUCGAUCCCUUGCUUUUAGUUGACCGUUAUUUUAUUAAAAUAUUUUCAUUUUCCUCUAAGAAUUUAAAUUAUUACAAAAUGCAUUUGGGAUAUAGAAAAAAAAACAACAGAUGUUUUUCUAAAAAUUCAAGAGAUUAAGUUAUAGAAAUUCAUUUACUGUAUGAAAUUUAUUCUAUUAACCAUAACUAGUAAUGAUAAAAAUAAAAAAAAAUUGAAAUAUGCAGAACACUAUAACAAUAUAAUCUAAAAAAUAAUUUUAAAUGUUUUAAGUUAUCGUUAAAAUCUCGGUUAUAAAGGUUCAAAAUUAUUUAAAUCCAUAAGUUUACAAGAAAGAUGGAUCUACAGGAUACAUGAAUUAGCACAAAGGUGAAGACUUAGCUCAGGAUAUAUGAAAGUCCUAAGUACAAAGUUGGGUUUUUCCUCAUCAACCAAUUCUAAUAUGUAAGGGUGAAAAACAUUCAGGGCUUAUAGACCCACUGGGUUUCUUCUCGUGCGUCAAACUAAAUAUUCUUUCAAGAUAAAAAAGAAAAUAUAUUUAUCAUGAGAAAUUAUUUAGUAUUGUAAUUAAACAUGGUUUAGUGGGUCAAAUUUUUAAAGACAUAUUGAAUUAAUUCGAGUCAACCUCGGAUAACCCGUCAAAUUUAUGGUUCGGGUCAUGGACUCCACUCGGUCCAAUAACUUUUUUUUUAUUUAAUUAUAUAAUAAAAAAAUAUGAAGAACAAUUAAAUAUCAACUAAAUAUUAAAGCUGGCCAUGCCCGAAGUCGUUACCUUAACCGCAAGGGGGGAUGCCGAAGGAUGAAACUGAAAAAAAUACCAAUAAAAAAAUAUAAAAAACCAAUUUUAAAAAUAAAAUUAAAAAAAAUAAAAAAACCAAUUUUAGGCCAAUCACCCUGGCAUAGAUGGCCCACGUGUCUGGGCCUUUAAAAAAUCCUAGAGGCAUUGGGCUGAGUCAAGCUUCCUAGAGGUCUUAAACCAAUUGUUGUGGUUGAAAAAUCACGAGAAAGGAUUUUUUAGGCUACAAAUCGAUUUUUGAAGCUAUUUUCACCUAGAAACAUCUACAAAUCAUUAUAAAACAGUUCCAUAAACCACUUAUCAAUCUCAAAACACACUAAAAAACUUUUUUAAAAAAACCAAUAUCAACUAACAAAAAUUCAUAACGGAGUUGGCUUUUCUUUUUCAAGCAAGUUUAUAGGAAAAAACUACCAUCAUUAAACUUCUAUCAUCGAAUAGAACUCAUUGACAUAAAGAGUGGCAAGUUUUGUUAUCGAGAAGAGGCUAGAUUGAUUGUUUCUCUCUCCUCAUUGUUUUUAGGUAAUUUCUCUCUCAUCUCUCUAAUUCGAGGACUUAAAUGUAAAGUAAAUGAGUUUUUGGAUUAAAAUUAAAAUAAUAAAAAAAAAGAACCAUAAAGGUAGAAAAAGAAAGGUAUAAAGAUGAAAAAUAAACUUUCCCCCCUAUUGCCCAUGGGUUUCUCCUUGUUUUACAUUUGGUCCUUUUCUUUUAAAUUUUUCUCUUUUUAAUACAUUUUUUCAAAUUGAUCAUUAAUUUGGGAAUAAAAGGAUGCAACUGAAAAGAAAAAAAAUUAAGAAUCAAAUUGAAAAAAAAUAUUAGUGGUGCUACAAUGAAAAUGCCAAUUAUUUUUUUAUAUUACUAGCUAUUUUACUCGUGCUUCGCUAUAGAUCAGAUAAUUUGUUUUUCAAUACAAAAGAAAUAUGACAACAUUUCCUAUGUGUUUUUUUAUAUAAAAAAUCUUAAUCGUGAAUUGAAAUGUUUAUGCAUGCAUUUAAUUAAAAAAUUGAGAAUUAUUUAUCCAAGCAAAAAACAUUAUGGAGUUCAAUUCUUAACCAACCAAAGUUAACUAGUCAAACUCAUAACUCGGGUCAUGAACUCGAUCAGGUUGAACAUUUUUUUAUAGAAUUUUUUGUUUAAUUAUAAGAUACAAACAAAUUCUCGCAAAAUUGAAAACCAACUAAAUACCAGGAUAUUUACUUGAGAUCGCGAUAAAUCUACAAAUAUCAAACCAAAACAAAUAGCAUUGCCCAAAUAAAAAUCAACAAAAUAUUAAAAGAUGAAAUUGAAAAAAAAAAUUAAGCAAGAAAAAUCAAUAAAGAUCCAAUUGUAAGGGAUUAAUUUGGGAAAAAAAUCAAUAAAUAAAUACCAGUAAAAAAGGCUUAGGUGUGCAAUCUGAAGCAGUCCACGUCCCUAGGCCUAUUUAAUUAUUUUUUUCCUUUCUUUAUGGGGAAGAUGACUUAUCAUUUGCCUCUGAAUUCUUUGAGAAACAGAACAACAGGCAACGUGUUGCCUGUUCUGCCCGAAUUUCAAUAACCAAAUAUCACUAAAAAGUUGGGUCAAAAGUGUUUAAAACCCAAAAAAAUCCAUUUUCAACCAUUUUUUUACCCAAAAACACCUAAAAAUACCAUAGCGACCACCCAGAUAAACUUGUUUAUGCCUUUAAAUAACCCAAAAACAGUCCAAAAGCAACAAAUCAACCCAAUACCAAAGAGCUUUCCAAUGCCAAAUCUAUUUUUUUAGGCAAUUUGGAGAUGAAAAAAACACUUUAGUGAAAUUCUUCUCAUCAAAUGAAACUCGUUGACACAAAGGGCAACCAUUUUGGUUGUUGAAUAUCUACCAUAAAAGUCAGGUAACUUUCUCUCUGUUGUCUCAAACAAAGGACUAAAAAAUAAAAAAAAUAAAGUUUUGGACUAAAAAGUUGUUUGUUUAUGCCUUUGAAACUGCAAUUGAGUGCAUUUGGCAUGAAAAAACAUAAAAUUAGUGUUUUUUUAAUAUUUUCUGAUAAUUUUGAUGUGCUGAUGUAAAAACAUUUGUAAAAAAAUUAUUUUAUUAUAUUUUCAAGUGAAAAAACUUAUUUGAAAAGCAUCAUAUACCAUAAUACAAAACACACACUAAAUGUGUAUUAUAAAAAAAAUAAAGGGAUGGGAAAUGAAAAUGUUGCAAACUAUGAAGGAAAAAAUAGUUCACUUUUUUAGUUAAUUUUGAAAUAGUCUUCUAGUUCAUCCAUAUUUUUCAUAUUGGUCUCAUGUCUUUCAAUUUUGUCAUUCCUUUACAAAAUAGAAACAAUUGACCUUUAAUUUGACCACAAAAGGGUAUAAUUGAUAAGAAAAAAAGUUUGAUUAUAAAAAUGAAAAAAUUACUAUAGAAGUCCGCUGUCAAAUAUGAGAAAGGGAACAGUUUCCCACGUCUUCUAAGUGUUUUGUCAAGUAAUGCAAUGUGAUGGGGGAAAUUGUGGACCUAAUGAUAAAAGACAUAGGAUUUAAGACAUGGCCUCCAUUGAUGUAAAAAACAUGUCCAUGCAAAUGGAUUCAGGCCGAACAAUGAUCUGUGGCCUAUUUUGGGCUACAAACUCAUGAUGGAGUUCGAGGGCCCUUUGAUAGAAACAAGCAGUUCCUGGUUUUUGCUGACAGGAUUCCAGCAAAUCCACGAGAUGUGCAAGGUGAUAAGGCUUCAAUUAUCGCUACGUAUUAGUUGGUUGGUUGGUUGGUUGAAAAUCCUCGCAAAAUAAUACGAAUUUGUAAAUCAAAAUCUAUUAUAAAAUCUUAGAAGCGCAGUGCGGGAGGUUUGGUUAUCACAUGAAAAUCCAAUGAUACAGUGAACGACUUAUAAAGGAAGGGCGUGGAGAAAUACAAGUCCAUCUCUUUAAUUUAAUAGACUAGUCAAGACGACAGCAACAUGUCAGUGACAGAGUGGUACCACGUGGAAACGUAUAUAAGAUGUGAUCAACUUUUCCACAGCAAGAUGCACAUUCUUUGAUGUUGUUCUUUUUGGUAAUGACGGAUGAUGAUGGUCAAAUUUGUUUAAUUGUGAUGCAUCCAUUUUUUUUAUUCUUGUAAGUGCAGUAUAAUUUGUUUUCUAAAAUAUAUUUUUUAUUUAAAAAUAUAUUAAAAUAAUAUUUUUUUAAAAAAUAAAAAAUUUAUUUCUAAUAUCAAGACAUAAAAUUAAAUAAAAAAAAAGGUUCAACAUCAAUAUCAAACGAAUAAUUAAUUUUCUUUCGCAACUAUCGCUUUAAAUUAAAUAGUUAGGUACAACGAAACUUUUCAUUUGACUAACUUGAUAAUUGUUGAGAGUGAAAGGACUUUGGUAUUUAUUUUUAGAGUAUUUUUUUUUAAUGUUGAAAUGGUCAUAUCGCGGAUAGGUUUAAUUUCUUAAUUUAUAAUAUCAAACCUUGAUGAGUGGAGUUUUAAUUGAGAGACAAGAACCAUCAAAUAAUUGAUUAAUUCAAAAUGAAAAGCAUUGCUCUAAAUAGAAUAUUUAAUAAUUGACUUUGGAAAAAGAAGAAGAAGAAGAAAGAAUUGUGGAUAAAAUAAAUUGAAGGAUGAAGGACAUUAGAAUUUAGGGCAUGUGGGGCCGUGGGACAGUUCAAUCACAGAGUAUAAAAUAAUUUGGGAUCAAAACGUGUUUCGUGCAAUCAAAUCAUGAUAGAAACCACUGGAACUAAAGUUUGUGGAAAAUUAGGCAAAACAUACAAAAGGUAGACUUUAUUUUUAUUUUUAUUUUCUAAGAGGAGACCAAAUUAUUUUCCAAACUAGUAUAAGGGAGUAUUGUUGAGAAAAUAUUUUUUACUCUGUCACAAAAUACAAGUCAUUCAUGUAUUAUAUGCUUAAUUAAUAAGACUUUCAUGUAGCACAUGUAUACGUAUCUAUAGAUGGUAUAUAUAUUAUACAUAAUCACUGGUCAUGAAUGUAAUACAUGGACAACAUCUCGAUUAAUUAUUUUAAGACCAAUUCUUUCUUUUUCUUUCCUUUUAUUUUUUUUCUUCUCUUACCUUCUCUCUUCUCUGAACACCAUUCUCAACUCAGGCCACCUAAUAUCUCUCUCCACCAUAAAAAAAAAAACCUCUCUCUCCCUUUACCGCGAUAAAUCUCACCUCUCUCUCUUUCUAUUGGUUCCCUCCCUAGCCAUCCACUCAUAGCAACAACCAGUCCCUCGCCACCCCGCUAUUGCUGCCGUUAUCACCACAAACAAGAGCCUCAUUUAACCAAUUUGAGGUAUAUUCACCUUCACCUUCUAUUAAUUUGUUAUUUUGCUUGGCUAAAUUAUAUAUUUUUUAGGGUAGAGUUUUAGGGUUUAACUUAGGGUUUUUGUUGAUUUUUCCUAAAUUAACUAUAAUUUGACAUUAAUUAGAUAUAGAAUUAGUUUAGUGUAUAAAUUUUCUUAAGUAGUAAGAAAAAUCAAUGAAUUAUAUUGCGUUGAUUAUGUUAGUGUUAGGAUUUCGUUUAUGGUUUUCAUUAGUUUUGGAUUUUUUUUAAUGCAACUUGAAUAAUUUGCUAUAUUAAUAAAUUAGCAUUGAGUCUUAUUGUGAUUUUCAAAGAAUAUAUCUUCUAUAGUGGGAAUGUAAUGUUAUUAUAAUGAUAAAAUCAUCGAUAGCGAUAAUGAUAUCACUGACCAUGGAGAAAAUACCGAUUUAUGUAGCUUGAGAUUAGAAAAUGAACUUAAAAAUUUAGUAUGUUGAAGGAUAGGGUGGAAUUUGUAUGUUUUUUUUUUUUUUUUGGUAAUAAUCGGGGCUAAUAAGCCCUUCUAAAUUGAACGAGUAACAGUAGACCCAAUCAGGUCAUGAUACAAUAAGGGAUAAAGCCCCGACGGUGGUUCUUCUAACACAUCUGAUCCCCUGUCUAAUAAAUCCCUAGUUAGCCCAUAAUUUGCCAACCAAUCGGCCACACAAUUGGCCUCCCUAUACACAUGAUAAGUUGUUACUUCCCAAUCCCUCCCUAACAUACCUUUAAUCUGCAUAAUUAUAUUGUAAUUCCUGUCCACUCUCACACUAUCCCCAUUAAUGAGACCCACUACAACUUUGGAAUCGGAUUCCAAAUCCACCUUCCUAAACCCUCUAUCCCAUGCAAGUUGAAGCCCAACAUAGACCGCCCAUAACUCUGCAUUAACUGACGAACAAAUACCAAUAUUCCUUGCAAAACCCCCUAUCCACGCUCCCAAAUGGUCUCUAAUCACUCCUCCAGCACCUGCCACUCCUGGAUUUCCUUUGCUGCAUCCAUCCACGUUUAGCUUGAUCCGCUCUUCUUGUGGGUAUUUCCACCCAACCUGAGUAUCUUCCUUACUGCUUCUUCCCUCAUCAUUACCAUGCCUUUGAGUAAACUCAGUAUCCCGGACCAUUCUUUUUAUAGCAAGAAUAGCCCUAAACCAAUUACCCUGAUCUACUCCAAAAACUCUAUUGCACCUUUCUUUCCAAAUAUACCAUAGAGCUAUUCCGAAUUCCAACGACCAAGCCCCAUGAUCCGUAGUUCUAUUUCUGGCGGACAUAUUUGAUACCAGUCAUGCAUACCAAUUUUGACUGAAGAAUAACUCUCUAUUCUCUACCUUUACGAACACCUCCCAAAUUUUGCGAGCUUUAGGGCAAUCGCGCAACGCAUGGGUUAAUGUUUCCACUUCAGUACCACAAUGAUCACAAAAUCUAUUAGCUGUUAAAUGUCUCCGAUAUCUCAGGUCAUUGGUCAUAAUAGAAUUAUGGGCUACCGUCCAAAGAAACACUUUGAUACGCUCCAUGCCUUGCCACUUUCUAAUCAACCUCCAAAUAGGGUCUUGAUCCAUCUCCCCCCUUUCCUCUAAAACCAUAUAAGCAGUUCGGACUGUAAGCUUUCCAUUUGAAGAAUGAUCCCAACCCACCGUGUCGUCUAUUCCAUCUUGCAUUGGUGGAGUGUAUCCAACAAUGCUCAUCACAAUUUGCAUAGGAAUUAGAUGGGCAAACACAUCCCAUUUCUAAUUGCCCCUAUCGUCCACCAUAUCAGCCACCGUAUAAUCAAGAGUCUCUACCUGCACCUCCCUCUCUAAAUGAUUAAUGAUAGGCCCAUAACUCUCCAACCAACUGUCUCUCCAAAAUAAAAUCCGUUUGCCAUUCCCUACAUUCCAGGUUGCAUUCUGGUUCACCGUGUCCCAUUCUUUACAAAUGGCCUUCCACAACACUGAGUCAGACGGUAUUGCCACCGGAUUACCUUCCCUUCUCCUAGUGCUCAUAUACUUGUCCUUUAGAACUUUUACCCAAAGAUGAUUCUCCUUCAUCAUUCCCCAAGCCAAUUUCAUUAAAAAGGCUCUAUUCAUUGACUUCAUUUUCUUUAACCCCAUCCCGCCUUCUUCCUUCGACCGACACAUCUUGUUCCAAUUCACAAGAUGGAUUUUGUCUCUACCUUCUUGUUGACCCCAUAUGAAUCUCCUGCAUAUUUUCUCUAUCUCAUAGCACGUAUGUUUGGGGAUAACAGCAGCUUGCAUUGGAUAUAAAGGGAUCGUGGAAAGCACAGAUUUACAGAGAGUUAUCUUCCCUGCCAGAGACAGAUUACUAGCUUUCCAACCUGCUAAUUUUUUCUGCAUAUUGUCUAAUAAGUAACUAUAUGUAUUCUUAGUUACUUUUUGGUGAAGUAAAGGCACCCCUAAAUACUUCCCCAUAUCUUUAGUGAUUUGAAAACCACUUCUCCUGCUAAUAUCACCCGCCAAGGAGACUGAUACAUUUUUUGAGAAAUAUACUUUUGUCUUUGUAUUACUAACCUUCUGCCCCGACGCUGCACAAAAAGUAUCAAGACAUUUAGUAACUCUCUCCAGCUGAUCCAUACUUGCCUCUGUAAACAACAACAUGUCGUCUGCAAAACAUAAAUGAGAAAUCUUCAACCCAUUCCUUCUCAUUCUAAAAGGCUUCCAAGUAUUAUCCUCCACCUGUUUGUUUAUAAGUUGAGAAAGUUUUUCUAAGCACAAAACAAAUAUAUAUGGGGAUAGCGGGUCUCUUUGUCUUAUACCUCUGUUAGGACUGAAUUUCUGAGUUGCACUUCCAUUCCACAGCACACUAAGUGUUUGUGUUUCUAUACUCUGCAUGAUGACUCUUAUUAGAUCACUAGGAAGUCUGCAUCAAUGAGAGUCUCUCUGAUAAACUUCCAGCUUAAUCUAUCAUAAGCUUUUUCAAGAUCCACUUUAAUCAUCAUAAAGCCUUUUUUACCUUUCAUCUUGCGCAUGGAAUGAAUGACUUCCUGGGCAACGAUAAUAUUGUCUGUAAUUUGUCUUCCCGGCACAAAGCUGCUCUGCACUUCACUGAUGAGAUUCGGCAUCAAAGCUUGUAGUCUCCCCACUAUUACUUUUGACAAUGCCUUUAAAAUCACAUUACAAAGACCAAUUGGUCUAAACUGAUGUAGGUACUCAGGCAUCUGGACUUUUGGAAUCAAGACUAAAUAUGAGUGAUUUAUUCUCGACAUGUCCUUAUUGCCUGUAAAAAUGUCUCUAACAUACCUGCAAACAGAUUGGCCAAUCACAUGCCACUGAGACUGAUAAAAUAUUGGCUGAUACCCAUCCGGUCCCGGGGCUUUAUAAGGCUUCAUCCCAAAUAUAACCGCCUUAAUUUCAUCGUCUAGAAUUGGGGCUUCUAGCUGAUUUAUAUGGUUUUGAUCAAUAAUCAGAAAAUUACCCUCCAACUGAAUAUCUUUCCGAGUCUCCUCCUGGUCUUGCCAAAAUAACUUUUGAUAAAACUCCCUAGCCAUAUCCUUUAACUUAUUUUCCUCCCAAACCCAAACCUGCAUCUCAUUCUUCAAAGCUUUUAUUUUAUUCCUUUGCCUUCUGAUGAUGGUCUUCGUGUGGAAAUAGGAAGUGUUCCUAUCUCCAAAAGAGAUCCAAUUACAUCUUGACUUCUGGAACCAGUGAAUCUCCUCCUGUCUAAGAAUUUGAUUAUAUUCAGCCGAUAGGUCAUCCUCCAAUUGGUACAGAUGCAGAUUUCCUCUAACCGCUAUUGCUUUCUGAAUUCCGCCUAAUCUCGCCAAAACCUUUCUUUUCUUCUGGAAAAUGUUGCCAUACACCCAUUUAUUCCAUAUCUUCAACUGCACCAUCAAACCUUCUAAGGCUGUUGGCACCUCUGCAUCCGUCUCCCAGUGAUUUUUCAAGAAUUCUGCAAACUCCCUAUGUUGUAGCCAGGCUGCUUCAAACCGAAACGGUCUUCCUUCUCCUUGAACUAUAACUCUCUGCUCCUUGAGCUCUACCAAGAUAGGGUGGUGAUCUGACCUAACCCUUGGAAGAACUAACACAUUAGCAUCUUGGAACAACUGCCUCCACUGAGCAUUACCAAAACACCUAUCCAAUCUUUCCUGAACCCGCAUAUAACCAUUUCUAAUACCCCCUCUCCAUGUGUAUUUCGGACCUUUGCUGCCCAAAUCUAUCAAUUUACAUUCUUGAACCCAUUUAGCAAAACGAUGAAUUCUACGAUUAUCUACUCCAACUCCCCCGGAUUUUUCCGUAUCCAUCAGGAUCUCAUUAAAAUCCCCAAUAACCAUCCAUGGUAAUCUGACAUUUCUAGCCAAAUUAGCAACUUCUUCAAAGCACUGUUUUUUUAAAAUAGCAUUCGGAUUAGCAUAAACUACUGUAAAUAACCAAGCCUCACUGCUCCCUUCAUCAACACUUCCAUGUAUAAAAUGCCGAGAAGAAUUCAAUAUCUUAACAUUAACAUUCGAAUUAUUCCACAUCAACCAUAAUCCACCCGACAUCCCUUGAGCCUCAACUCUGAAGCUAGACUCAAAUUUCAGUUUUUCAAUAAUUUUAUCAGCUCGGAACCCACUAACUCUCGGCUCUGCUACUGCCCCUAUUUGAAAUUUAUGAUUUUUCCUCAAAUCGUGCAUCACCGCACAAAAUUCUCCACUUCCUGCACCUCUACAAUUCCAGAAAAAGAAUUUCAUAAAAUACUUGAUAGAAAUAUACUUACAAGCUAAGAUGAAAUUCAUCUUCCUCCUGUGUUGUCCAUGAGGGAAUCUCCCACAUCCACCAUCAUCUCAUCUUCAGAAUUUUGAGAAACCACCAUGAAUUCUCCUUCUUCCCCUACUUCUGCUCCCUCUUCCAUCAGGAUUUCCUUAUCUGGUGGCUCCAUCUCCUGCACCCUUGUUUGUUGAAAUUGCUCCGUUCCACUCCUGUAAAAUUCAUGAUUUGUUCGAAACCCACGUCUCACCAUUUCUUCUCUCGGCGCCAUGCUGCUUGAAUUCUCCUUUGAGCUGCUAGAAUCCCUCUUCCUUGUCUCCGUGUCCAGUCCGGUUACCUUCGCCUUUCCUUUCACUGACUUCGGUUGAAUCAACACAGGGGCUACAAAUUUGCUCCUCUCGGUCACAUUCACAUUCUUCAGCCCACCUUUUGGAUUCUUCACUUUUGGACUCAUCUCGGUCCCAGCCUUCUCGGUCUCAGCCCUCUCGUUCCCAUUCUUCAGCCCACCGUUUGAGCUCUUCACAUGUUGACUCAUCUCGGUCCCAGCCUUCUCGGUUUCAGCCCUCUCUUUCCCAUUCUUCAGCCCACCGUUUGAGCUCUUCACUUGCGCACUCCUCUCGGUCCCAGCCAUCUCGGUCUCAGCCCUCUCAUUCCCAUUCUUCAGCCCACCGUUUGGGCUCUUCACUUGCUGGCUCUUCUCUCCUCUUUGUUCUCCUGGGCCGAUGAUGGCCCGUUGCUUCUUAUGGCCCAAUGGCCUCCCAUCUCCUUGUUUGUCUUCAAUGCUUCCAGUCCCGUUUUCCUUAAUUCCACUUCCUCUGCUGUUGCCAGCUUCAUUCUCGGCCAAAUCUUCAUGACUCGCAUUCAAUGCGUCAUAACGGGCAGAAACAAUUAAACUUCCAGCCGUUGUGCUCUUUAAUUUUUUCCCGAGAUUUACGGCUAUCAUUUCGCCCUUUCCAUUUCCUCUUUUUUCCUCCACCACGGUCUUCUUGCUAGGCCGACGGUGUCUCCGGUCAGCAAUCAUCCAUGCACCAUAGGAAUCCAUGAUUUCCGGUCUAACUAGAGAACCGAGGGAAUCACCAGUCAUUUCCUUUUCACUUGGUUCAUCUUGAGACUCAUGAGCGAUAUGAGGACAUAUUUCCUGCUUAUGUCCGUAUUGGCCACAGUGGAAGCAAAUUAGAUGUAGUCCCUCAUACAUUAUACGUCUAAUUCUCCGGCGUAGUUUAAACUUAGCAAGUAAUGGUUUUGUGAGGUCCACCUCCACACAAAGUCUUGAAAGUUCCCCCUCGUACCCACUGAGGUAGUUCUGUCCACUUUUAGAGUUUUUCCAAUCUUGUUCCCUAUCUUCCACAGUACCGAAGUGUCAUAAUAUUCCAAUGCCAAGUCUGGCAAUCUAACCCACACUGCUACCUUGUCAAUUGUUGCUUCAAAGGGGUCAAAAUUAGGAUGCCAUGUUCUUACCGUUAAAUAAUGAUCCGUCACCAUCCAAGGCCCUCCAAAUAAUACAUGUUCUCUAUCCUCAGUGUUGGCAAAUUUUGCCAAAUAAAAGUCAUUGCCCAAGUCUGUUAAUGUAAAGUCUCCUCGGAGAUUCCACAUAUUUUUCAGACGUUGCAUGAAAAACAUAUAUCCCACCUUCCGACCCAUGAGUUUGAUUAUAAGAGUUUGUUUCCAUGGUGCCCGAAUUCUCUUUUUCUCCUCCAUAGAAAGUUUAAUUACCGGACAGUCAUCUUCAUCAGAAUCGUCGUCAUCAUCAUCAUAUACGCAUUCGUUGAAAUGGUUGUCUUCAUCCUCUUCAUGUCUUACCGAAGUUUCUCCCAUAAGUUUUUCCACGUAACUUUGUCCAUUGAUAUCUCCAAUUUUGACCUUCUUGCUGGAUCGUAUUAGCAAAUCAGCUUCCUCUGUUGAAUCAUCUAUUGCUUCCCGACAACUCUUUUCAGAGCCGUCCAUUGUUUUGUUCUGUUGAGAGUAUAUUCACUGCUCGGAAGUGUUUAAAUUUCAAAACUUAGCAAGGAAAGUAGACCACUUGGAAUUUGUAUGUUGAUAUUACUUGGAGGGUGUUGGGUGAAGGUCAUCUUAAUCAUUUUAUCAGUACGUCCAUUACUAGUGACAUGAGUUUAAUUGCAAUGGUUAGGUUGAUCGUUGCAAAUGUUAGAGCUCCACUUGAAUAGAAAACCUAAAAGAGAAAACUCUUCGAGUUUGGAGUUGACUUGAGUCUUAAGUUACAAUCAAAGAACCACAUAAUCAACACAUGUAACAUGUACGUCUAGGACAAUUGGUAAUGCAAUGAACCUAACAUCGAUUCAAUAAACUAUACAUAUAGAAGCUCGGUUAGGUAUGGUAAUGGCUCUGUAUCAUUAUGAUGAAUCUGAACCAAGUGAUAAGGAAGAUGACUGUCAUGUCAAUGAUAUAGUGAUGAGGAAGAUGAAUGUCAUGUCAAUGACAUAGGAGGUAUUUGUUUUUGCAAUUGAAACUGCGUUUUUUUUUUAAAAACAAUUUGUUUGAAAUUAAAUUUUUUGUGCUUUGGAUCGUUUUGAUGUGCUGAUGUCAAAAAUAAUUUUUAAAAAAUAAAAAACAAUUAUUUUCAUACAUUUCCUAGUGAAAAAAACUUUGAAAAGCGACCGCUACCACACUUCAAUCACUACCCUAGUUGAGGAAAAUAAUCAAGGUGAGCCAAUAAACCAAUAAUAAGACCUUAUGUUCUUAGAUUUGAUGAUGCUAGUGGGUCUGCUCGUAUGUUAAGCUUUGAGUCAUAGGAAUUCAAGUUUAGGUACUGAGUUAGAGGUUAGACAAAUUUUUUGAAUCGAGAAUGAUUUAAUUAAUAUAAUUAAAUAGUGGUAUGUAAAUAAUCCAGUACAAUACAAAGUGUAACAUUCAACCAUAACUUAUGUAUGAUUAUAGUGUAAGCAUAAAUCAUCAUUUCAAUGGUAAUAACGUGGGGUAUAUCAUAAUACUUUUGAUUCAUUUAAGAUUUUAAAAUUGAAAAAGCCCUACAUAUAUAACAAUUCAAUGGUUAUGCAAGCCUACCAUCAAGUUGACUCUUAUUUUAUUGCUAAUAUGAUGUUGACCAUUGUCAAAUCUGAAAUAAGUAUUAAAAUUGUAACCAUUCAAACUACUAUCUGUAGAGAUUUUUUGUAUGAUAUAUCAUAUAAAAGCCUUGGUUAGCUAAAUAGAAAACAUUAAAGAGGUUGUUUGGACCACAUGAGUAGUCUUUUCAAAUGCUGUUUAGGAUGCAAUUAGUUCUAAAAAAUAAAAUCCUAAUAUAGUUGUUGAGUUACAAGGUGGUUAAUGGUGAUAUAUCAAUAUUUGGGAGAGUAUUAUGGGCACUAUAUAUAAUAAUAUGGUUGACAGAAAUGAUCAAAUUAGAAAAUAACUUGAGAUUGAACGGAAUGAGACAUGGACACUCAACAUACAAAAGGUCUUGAAAAGAGAUAGCAUAUAAUAACGGUUAUCGUUAUGGAAAUAUGACCACUAAUAUGUUAGAGGUUUUUAACAAUGUCUUGAAAGGGGUUUGUGGUUUGCCUUUAAUGAUUAUAGUGCAAAUUACCUUAUUUAGAACCAAAAUGAUAUUUCAUAGUACAAACAUCUUUGUAAAUCUUGUCAAGUUAAUGUAAAGAGUCCAAGAUGAGAGAAAAGAAAGAGAGAACUAUAUUCUUUCAACAAUAAAACUUACCUCUUCAUAUAGGUUAUGUCCCUAUACAUGUAAGUAAAUAAAACAAUUACUUCUUUUAAUAUCUUUUCUAAAUAUUUAGACUAGAUUUAUUUCUUUUGAAAAGAUCAAGUCUAACCCAAUAACCAAUAGAACAUAAACUGAUCAUGAACCAGGUGCGAGAUUUUAAACUUAAAUUCAAAUUGUAUUUGUGAUAAUAUUUUAUAAAUAUUAGUAGGUAGAAAUGCAAAGAUAAUAUGUACGUGUGUAUGACUCUAAAGUAUAACAGUGAAAAACUAAAAAAAGAAAUACAGAAAAUUUAUUCCCCGUAGUCUUUUCAGAUUUUUAACUCUUUAUUCUUUAAGAUUUUAUAAAAGAGAAUAUUAAUUUAAUCUUUAAGAAGUUUUUCUCCUCAAGCUGUGAAAUGGCAUCAUCACUUCAUAGGCAACCUCAAUCAAUAAAUUCACGAUUAAUUGUGUUCCUUCAAACGAAAUAGAAAAUAAUUAUUUUCUUUGUUCUUUUCUUUUCUUCUAAGCUGCUCCCUAGCUCUUUUUUUUUUUUGGCCUUGGUUUUCUCUCUUCGGUAUUUUGAUUUUUAGGAAUUCCCUUGGCUUAUCCAAAAAAAAAAAAAAAAACCCUUUUUAAACACAAUAUAUCCCAAUUAAUGGUAUGGCUUAUGGAUAAUGGUUUUCUACUUUAAAUUAUAAUUCAAAAUUUAUUUUUUAAAAAUAACUUGUGAAAGAAAUAUAUUCAGUAAAAAACAGUUUUUUGAACAAAAAAAAGUUAGCACGAGUUAAAAGUUAAAAUCUUUAAUAGAAUCAAUUUUGUUUAAAGUUAAAAAUUUAUUUCACAUCAAAUCUAUUUAUAAUCCUUUUCUAAAUAAAAAAUUUAAAAAAACAACUUAAAUUAAUUUAAAAAUCAAAAUCAUACAAAAUAUAAUUUUAUUUAAUUGCUUAUAAUUAACUAUUUUUUUCAUAACGAGGUGGCACUGUUUGGGAACGUGUGCAAACCGCGUUUCUAAAAAAUUCAAAUUUUGUUUUUUUAUAAAAUUUAUUUUUUAUGUGUUUUGGAUCGUUUUGAUGCGCUGAUCUCAAAAAUAAUUUUUAAAAAAUAAAAAAAACAUCAUUUUAAUGCAUUCCAGCAUAAAAAACACUUUAAAAAACAAUAUCAAUUACAUCUUCAAACAAUCUACCAAGAAAAAGAAAAACAGCAGCAGCCAUGAAGUAAACUAAAAAAACAAAAAUAGAGUAUACCUUGCAAAAGCUAGGAUGUAGACUACUUUCCGCUGAAAGUGAAACAACAAAACCUCUUUAUGUGAUCUCUAUGAGAUGAAAGUGAUAAAUUACCGCAAGGAACACGUUUUUUCAUUUGAUAUGAUAUCACAUAGAUUCUUGAAGUUACGAGUUUAAAUUUUAUUAUUUUUAUUUUUUAAUAAAAAUUAAAUACAAAAUAAUAUAAAUUUGCCCUUAUCUGGUGAAAUGCUUGUGGCCAAUUAACCUGCAAGAAUGUGAGGGUCCCACUAACAUGGGUGACUGGGGUCCUGGUUUUCCUUUAUGCUGAGAGGAGCCACUCAUGCUCACAGAGCUCACGUCCACCACAGACCAAUUUUAGUGGUCGUUGAUUAAUGAUUGUCCUUUGGAUAAUAUCACGUGAUCCUGACCCUCCAACUGUCUGCGUCCAUGCCCUUCAACCUCGUAUUUGUUAAGAACUAAAACUAAAGAGCCCUAAUCAAGGAAAGGUAGCCCGGCCCAAAAGGUAAAUAGCUUAAAAAACAAGCUUAAAUAUUAGGGCCCAAUACUGCUAAUUACCAGCCCUUAUUAUUUACUUUUUUCCAUUUAAACUAACAAAACAAAAUCUAGAGAGAGAGAUAGCUAAAACCUCGCCAAUAUAUCUACAUGGCAGUUGCGAAAAUUCUAUCCUCAAACGUCUAACAGGCGCGUCGUUUCAACGCACCAGUUAGGAUAUGACCAACUAGAUACUUUGCGUCACACUACCAUCUAUAUCCGUGCGUGGAAUAAUUUGAUAAUUAGAAACAAUUCUGAGGGCCUUUUAUUUUUUGGACCCCACCAAGAAAGAAAAUCUGGCACUCAGAGGAUGAUGCCACGUUGAAAGUGCAGCCACUUGUCUCUGUAUUCUCGCACGUGUCGCUCUCAUACGUGCGGUCCCAUCACUCUUCUUUUGUCUUCUCUCAGCAAUUUUCGCAGUUUGUGUCGUUUCAUGAAACUUUGAAAGAUAAUUUUUUAUUUUAAAUUUGUUUUUUUAAAAUUUUCAUAUUAUUUAAAAAUAUCAAAAAUAAAUUUUAAAAAAUAAAAAAUAUUAUUUUAAUAUAUAUAUAUUUUUAAAAUAACCACUAACAAACACUCAUAACCCUUCUUUUCCUUCAUAGUUGAGAGUUGAGACCACCGUGCAAACAAAAACAAAAGUAAUGUUGGUUCCCCUAGGCCCACAUCCUAGCGUGACGCCACGUGUCGGGAAGCGGUCUCAUCUCCCCUAUUUAUAGACCGCUCGGGGUGGUUCUUGAUGGAGCACAAGAAAGAAAGGGUCAGAGGCUAGUUAAGAUUAGUGGCAACGCAGUCUUGGUUUCCAUUUUUGUUUUCUCAUUCUUUGAUCUCGUGAUAUUUGUUUUUCUUUUCUAUAGCAAAGAAAGCAAAAAUGUUUAUUGAGAAGUUUAAGGUUGAGAGUCCUAACGUUAAGUACAUAGAGGAUGAGAUUCAUUCCGUUUACAACUACGAAACCACUGAACUUGUUCAUGAGAACAGAAAUGGUUCUUAUCAAUGGACUGUCAAGCCCAAAACUGUCCAAUAUGAAUUCAAGACUGACAUUCGUGUCCCCAAACUAGGGUUCGCAUCUAUAUACCAAACCCCUUUCUUUCUUAAUUUCUUUCUUUCUUUUUUUUACUUUUUUGUGUGCGCGCGAGCUAAUCUUUUGUGGGCUGAUCUUAAAAUCUUGAAAUGUUGUUUUAAUUUUUUCUCCUGGCAGUGUUAUGCUUGUGGGGUGGGGAGGAAACAAUGGUUCAACUCUCACUGGAGGUGUUAUUGCCAACAAAGAGUGAGUUCAUGUUUUUCUUUGUUGUUUUUUUAUUUAAGUUUGGCUAUGAAUUAAGGACGUAAAGUUGGGUUCUUUUGGAUGGUAGGAUUUUUAAUUAAUUUUAUGAUGUGGGUUGUUGAAUGCCUUGCAGAGGAAUCUCCUGGGCAACUAAGGACAAGGUGCAGCAAGCCAAUUACUUUGGAUCACUUACCCAGGCAUCAAGCAUCAGACUUGGGUCUUUCAAUGGAGAGGAGAUUUAUGCUCCAUUCAAGAGCUUGCUCCCCAUGGUAUACAUAUGUCUAACAUUUAUUAUGUACCGUGCUUUGCUCUCCAAUUUUUAGAAUAUCUUGAGUUAAUUCAUGAAUAUUUCUAAACUAUUAUGAUAAUCAACAAUGAUUUUUUUAAGCAAAAAAAAAAAAAAAGAGAAAAGAAUUAUUGUGAUAUUAAUAUUGAAACGUUAAAAAACAAUACAGGUGAACCCAGAUGACAUUGUAUUUGGGGGAUGGGACAUAAGUGACAUGAACUUAGCAGAUGCCAUGGCGAGGGCCAAGGUUUUCGAUAUUGACUUGCAAAAGCAAUUGAGGCCCUACAUGGAAUCCAUGGUACCCCUCCCUGGAAUUUACGACCCUGAUUUCAUUGCUGCCAAUCAAGGCUCACGUGCUAACAAUGUCAUCAAAGGCACCAAGAAAGAACAAGUUCAGAAAAUUAUGGAAGACAUCAGGUAGCAUUUUAAUUACUGGGACCUUUUCUGGUUCUGUGAUUGGAAAAAAAAAAAAAAAGGUUUCUUCUUCCUUAUAUGGAAAAAUAAUUGUUGCCAUCAUGCAUUUUUAUAAUUAACUAGGGAAUUUAAGGAGAAAAACAAGGUGGACAAGGUUGUUGUGUUGUGGACUGCCAACACAGAGAGGUACAGUAAUAUUGCUGUGGGGCUAAAUGACACCAUGGAGAACCUCCUGGCUGCUGUGGAGAAGGAUGAAUCAGAGAUAUCUCCAUCAACCUUGUUUGCUCUGGCUUGUAUUAAUGAAAAUAUACCUUUCAUCAAUGGAAGCCCACAAAACACUUUUGUUCCAGGUUCUUAACCGUAAAAUCCCAUCAUUUGUUUGGAAGGCCUAAUAUUGUUGGCUAUUAAGAAAGUUUAGAAGUUUAACCUUGUUUCGUUCCUGAUAACUACAGGACUUAUUGAUCUGGCUAUUAAGAGGAACAGUUUGAUUGGUGGAGAUGACUUUAAGAGUGGUCAGACCAAGAUGAAAUCUGUGCUGGUUGAUUUCCUUGUUGGGGCCGGUAUUAAGGUAUAUAAUAUAUUAAGAAAGCGGAAUUAUAUAACUUUUUGUGCUAAUCGUGUUGAACUGAUGGGGGUGUUUGUGAUUGUGAUGAUUCAGCCAACAUCAAUAGUGAGUUACAACCAUCUGGGAAACAAUGAUGGCAUGAACCUCUCAGCACCUCAAACCUUCCGCUCCAAAGAAAUCUCCAAGAGCAAUGUUGUUGAUGACAUGGUCUCUAGCAAUGGAAUUCUGUAUGAGCCCGGUGAACACCCUGACCAUGUUGUAGUCAUCAAGGUAAUUAAUCUCACUUUUGUUAUACCGUUACCUUCGGUUUUAAUUUUCAGUUCUUACUCUUGCAAUGCUAAUCUACUUUUUUGCUCUUUUCUGUGUGCGUGUCACUUGUAUAGUAUGUGCCAUAUGUUGGAGAUAGCAAGAGAGCUAUGGAUGAGUACACCUCAGAGAUAUUCAUGGGUGGCCAAAACACCAUUGUGAUGCACAACACCUGUGAAGACUCCCUCUUGGCUGCACCAAUCAUCCUGGAUUUGGUUCUUCUUGCAGAGCUUAGCACCAGGAUCCAGUUCAAAGGUGAAGCAGAGGUGUGUUUUCUUAAACUGAACUUUUAAUCCUGUUUGAUUUUGUUGAGCAAACUAAGUAGAUUCUUUGUGGAUUGACUUGUACUGAUAUGAAUUUCCUUCUAUGUAGGGCAAGUUCCACUCUUUCCACCCUGUUGCUACUAUUCUCAGUUACCUUACGAAGGCUCCUCUUGUAAGUUCUACUCUUUUAAACUACUGCUUUUUUUGGGUUGUAUUAGUAACUCUCAGUGAAAUGAAGGGAAAUGUGGAGUCGGGUUUAGUUUUUUUGACCCGACAAAAAAGCCACCAACUUCAUUUAUAUUGUUCAUGCCAAUGAACUCGCUCUGACGCAAGUUGUUGGAUUACUUUAGUCUUUAGUAACUACGUGUAAAUGAAAUCAUGGGAAUCUAGACUUGGUUAAGAGGAUUCUCUUUGUCUCUGUCAGAUUAUCUUAAUACCAUCAGAUUUAUUGUCUUUAUCACUGGCGGCUUAUGACUAACUUGUAUGUAACGUGAAAAAAAUAAAUAAACAGGUUCCACCAGGCACACCAGUGGUGAAUGCUCUGUCAAAGCAGCGUGCAAUGCUUGAGAACAUACUGAGAGCUUGUGUUGGGUUAGCUCCUGAGAACAACAUGAUUUUGGAAUACAAGUGAGCUAGUGGAAGAAGAUAACAGUGGACGUAGUUUGGUUCAGGAACAAAAAACAACCACCCAAUUUCCCUUUCUCUUUCACUAAUCCUGUGGUUAAGUGAUGCCUUUUUUUUCUGUAAUGUAAUAUUUGUGUUAUAUUUUCAUUAAUGUUUUAUGUAUGGAUUUUGCUGUUUAUUUUACGGAGCUCAUGUAGCCCGAUUGCUUUGGCUCAUCAUGACCAAGAACCUUUUUCUAGGCGAAAUAGAUGAUCUAUAUAUAUAUGGAAACAGUCCAUGAGCUGUGUUUGUUGGAGCAAAAUCAAGUAAUAUCAUUCUAUACUUUACUAAAGUUGUUCUCUUCCUUUUUGGACCUUUUUUCUUCUAAUUACCUUGUCAGGGAUCCAUGUUUUUGCGUUUUUUACUCGACUUUACCAAGAACCGUUGAGGGUAUAGCGUUUUCUGAGAAAUACUGUGCAUUCUCCUUUCUUAACUGUGGGACUUGUUCAAACGGACCAGUUUCUUGUAUUGAUCACCUUAAAUUCUAUGAUAGGUCACUUGAUAUUCGAUGAACACAUUGAUUGAUGCCCGCCUUAUGGAGUGCCACGGUAAAGGGCAAAAAUAUUUCAAUGGUCCCAGCUCUCUUCUCUCCAUUGCCAUACAUAUGGAGUCCCCAUUAUUUGAACCCUUCAGGGUUAUAUCUAUAAGGUCCACAAUUUUUUCGGUAGACCAGUCAACGUAUACGUGGACAGCUCAUGCUUUGUGGGGCUAAUCAUUAUUUCAUGCUGAAAGUUUUGGAUCGUGUGAUCAUCUGUGUUGCCUGCAAUCCUGGGAAGCAGGUGGGUGGCCAAGGCUGUUGGAGAUAAUGCUGUGGACCUGGAGAAAUUUUCUGCACCAGAUCAUGAGAUUCUUACAGAACGAAGGACCAUUUCAGUUCUCUAGUUUUCUUUCGUUUCUUUUUCAUUUUUUAUUCAACUUCUGCAAAAUAUAAUAGUGUCUUUCCAUUUAUUGAGCUCAAUUUUGUUUAGGAUGAAUCUAACUGAUUAUUUUGGGUUUAUUCAUUUUUGAACUAAAAAAUCAACAAAACAAUUUUUUUUAAAAAAAAAAUUUAAAACUGAAACUGUUUUCAACCAAUCAAUUUUGUUUUAUUUUGGUUUAGUUUUUAUUUUUUCAAAACUGGCUGGUUCUAUUUCCAUAUAAUCGGGCUUUUUUUUUAUUGGGCUUGUACUUUUAUAUUUUGGGUUUUUGAACAAUGACCUAUAUAUAUAUAUAUAUAUAUAUAUAUAUAUAAAAUAAAUUCGUUUCUAGGGAAAAAAAAACAAUUUUUUUUAACCUCUAUAUUUAGGUUUUUUUUUUUUUUUUGUGAUUUUAGUUGGUUUUCUUUUCUUUUAUUUUUCUUAUUCCUUCCCUUUCUUUUCUCUCAUCUUCUGACUCACUUUUCUCAUCUUAAACUUUACUUUCUUUCUUAUUUUUUUUCUCUCUCUAUUUUAACAUUUUCUCUCUCUAGAUUCGCUCUAUUUUUCUAUUGCCUUUCCCCUCCAUUUAUAGGAAAGGAUGAAGGUCUUAAAACCUUUUUAGGUGGAAUGACCGUGUUCGUAGCUUUCCUUAAGUCAAUCUCCACCUUUCAUCAUUGCUAUAUUGCAUUCAAAAUGGUCCUUUAGUAUUGUCAUCUUUUCCAGUUUAGUCCUUAACUUUUUAAUUUUCAAAUCUUAACCAAUUCCAUCCAUUUUCUCCCAGUUUCUUCACAAUUUCACCCUUGAUUGCAUUAAAAUAGACCGUUAAUUUUAGCAUUUUUUUCAAUGUAGUCAUUUGUUAUUUUUUAUCCUCUUUCUUCAUUUUCUUUUCAAUUAAGCUUUUAAUUGAACCCUAAGUUAUUUUUUAGUAUUUUUUUUAUCCCAUAUUAACCAUUGACCUUUUAAAUUACAAUUAUCUGCCCAAUUUCAUUCAAAACUGGAAGAUCUUGUGCUUGAACUAGUAUUUUUAUUUGGAUAACAUUAUUUUGGCAAAUUUUGAUUGCAUGGUAUUUAUAACAGUUCUAAUACAUAAAUAAAAAAUAUCUUAACAAUAAAGUCCAUUCCAUGUAGUAAUAGUAAUCUAUCGAACCAAAAAAAUAAAAGUUCAAUUGCUUAUCUGAAACACAAACUAAAAGAUCCUUAAAAUAGGUCAAAACUCUCCAAAUACCUUAAUAAUUAUGAUUAUAAUAAAUUUUAGGUUCACUUAAAUCAAAAUCAAUGCAGAUGCUUCUUUUAUAUUCUUAACCUAUUAAGAAUCAAAUGUGCAUUAUUUAGUUAACUUGUCAUUACUUUAACUACAAAGCUCAAAAUCUCAUUUUGAUUUCUGGAUUAAAAUGUAGAUUCAAAUACAUUUCCAUCCAUGUUCAAUUUACCUAGUGGAUUCCAACAUAUAAAACAUAAUUAAUCUUAUAAAUACCUUUAAAAAUUAUUCAUAUAUUUAUACUCUUUUAAACCUCUUAACCUACGAACAAAUUUCAUGAAGAAAACUCUAAUCAAUAUAUUACAUGAUGUGCAUACCAAAAACAAAUACUUAUUACUUACUUUAUAAACAAGAAAGUAAACUAUGAGCUUCCAAUUGUAUGUGUCUAUAUAUAUAUAUAUAUAUAUAUAUAUAUAUAUAUAUAUAUAUAUAUAUAUAUAGUAUUACAAACACCAUUAUAUUAUAUAUAUAUAUAAUGGUGUUUGUAAUACUCUAGAACACUACUAUUUGGUCUGGGCCAAGGAUUUCCAAUACACUUUCUUUAAAACUUUCAAAAUCGGAAACCCAAUUUCUAUAUAGCCCAAUACAAAGAAGGGCUCAAGUAAAAUCGAACCUCUCAUCGGGUUUUUAGGUUUUUUGUUUUAUAUAAAAAACAAUUCUUAUUCUUGUUUUAAAUUUUUUGAAAUCAAUAUAAAAAAACUACAUGAUACGAAAAGAGAAGAAAAAAUCCAAAUAUUUUCAUCAGCCUAGAAACUUCACCAACAAAAUUACUACAUUUAAGAUUUUUCAUUUCUUAACGUAGAACUGAUGGUGAAGGAAUAAUAUAAUUUUUUAAUAUUUUUGGUAGAUAAAAACGAGAGAUGUAAUUUCAAAAUUUAAUAUACGAAGGCUUAAAAUAUUAUGUGCCAGAAGCCAAUAUAUAGAGGAUCCUGCCAAUAACGUUUUCUUCAUUUAUUUCAGUUUUGUAUUUUAUCACACAUUUGUAGUAUACUAAAAAUUAGUUAGAAAUCUAAUCAAAGAAAGGGGAUGUAGCUCAGAUGGUAGAGCGCUCGCUUAGCAUGCGAGAGGUACGGGGAUCGAUACCCCGCAUCUCCAAUAUAUUUUUUCCGUUAAUACUAAAGGCCAGGCUCGCCGAACUGUGCUCCAGUUGGGCCACCAAAUGGAUCGAAAGGCCGAAGCUAUGAUUCUAUGCCUUCUCUCUGCUUUUUUUGGGUUUACCUAACAAGGUAAAACCGUAAAAGCCCUAUUUUCUUAAAUCUCACCACUCUAACGUGAGUAGGAUUUGAUUUCUAAGUUUUUUCAUGUUUGUUUAAUAUUGUGGUAAUGUUUAUUUUUUAAAAUAUUUUUUUAUUAAAAAAUUUAUUAAAAUAAUUUUUUUUAAAUUUAUUUUUGACAUUAAUAUAUUAAAACAAUCAAAUAACCGAAAAAAAUUAAUUUGAAAUAAAAAAAUCAAUUUUUUUUAAAAUAAUGGUAUAGUCAUAAUACCAAACACUUUGCGUGUUAUAUGUAUUUGUAGAAAAGAUAUAAGAACAAAGAUGACUAGAGUUUGAAGAAGAAGAGAUCAAAGAAAACUAGUGUUCUUAUCAUUAAAGUACCGGAGAGAAGAGAUCAAAGCAUUUGCAUGACCUUUCAUAAACAACUUCAGGAUCUUUCAAGACAUUCUCCAAUUUUUUUUUUAAAAAACUAAAGGAUUAGCUUGCAAAUCACAAGCAUGAAAUUGCUUUAGAUGUGUACUAUUUGUACUUUAGACCUGACAGUUAAGCUAUUAUUUUUUUUUUAGUUUAACGUGGGUGUCCGGGUCAGCUUGCGGGCACCUCGACUAAUCCCACGGGCCCUGAAGUUAACGACCAUGUAAGCCUCCAGUGACCAUCAUAUAAUCAACCACAGGACUCGAACCUGAGACCACAGAGGGAACAAACCUCUUGGUCCCAAGCUCUUAUCAUUGGGCCACCACCUAGAUGGUUAUAAUUAAGCUAUUAUUAAUUUUUAACUUAAAUUGUUUUUUGUUAUUAAUUCUCAAUAACAUCAAAUAUUGAGUAUAAGCAAUCAAGAAGUUCUCAUUCCAUAAAGUUGUUAAAAAAAAGCUAAAGUAUGCCUCAUUUGAAAUAAUUAAUUAGCUGAUAUAUUAGAUAUUGUUGACAUUUUUUGAUAACAAUGUUCUCUACCCACGUUAUUCAUGGUCGAUUUGUUUGAUCAAUUUUAGUAUUUAAAUGACAAGAAAAUAUUUCUCUAUUUAGGCCUCGUUUAUUUGCUGAAAAAUAAUUUUUUUUAAAAAAAUAGUUUCUUUGAAAAGUAAAUUAUUUUUCGAUGUUUGGUAGUGUCAUGGAAAAUCAGUUGGAAAACACUUUCCAGUGUUUGUUUAUGUCAUGGAAAAUGAGCUGGAAAAUAACUUAUUAAUAUUUUUUUCAAAUUUAUUAAAAUAAUAAGGAACAAAUCUUAAAAAUUAAAAAGUUGAAUGAGAAUGAAAUUGAAAAAAAAAAAUCUAAUUUCAUAAAUUAUCUCAAAUAAAAUAAAUAACAAUCAAAAUAAUAAAGAUCAAAUCUAACAGAUAAAAAUAUUAAAAACGAUAUUGGACAUUGAAAUUGGCCAUGAUCCUAAUCAACCAGGAGUCAAAAUUGAAGGGAAGGUGAACUUUUUUUUCUUUUUUUAUAAUUUUCCUUUAGUUUUUGCAAUUUCUUUCUCUCAUUCUUCUUAAACCUCUUUUUAUGUAGCGUUGCUUCAAAAUAUAAUGGUUUUUAUGAAGGCUUGAGUUCAUAGAUCCUCGUAUUAUAUUUGAUUUUACGAAAUUGCUACUUAUCUUAUCUUAGAAUCAAGUUUUUGUUUUUGUUUUGUAGUGUCUCAUUCUAGUUGUCAUUAAAAUAUUUUUUCAAUUUAAUUUAAAUUAUUAGAUGUUUUACUAAUAUUUUUCUAGUUGUCAUUAGCUUUUAUUCAAUAAAUCAUGGUUUUAAUUAAAAAAAUGUUAUUGUCCAAAAAGAAUUACAUCAAUGAAAAAAGAUAUUUUUCUUAAAAAAUCACAAUUUUUCUACAUAAUUCUAAACAUUGCAUUUCCUAUGAGUUUCCAUUUUAAUAAUUGUGUAAUUGAAUAAAAAUGAAUUUUAAAAAGUGCCCCUUCUAAAGCACAGACACCAUACUAGUGCUAUUUUACGCCAAACAUAUUGCAGCUUCUCGAGCCAUCAUCAUAUGCAGUCAUGUUUAAUUGUUUUAUAAGCAUUAGUUAAUUAUGAAAACCAUUAUUUUUAUUAAUAUUUUUAAAUAAAAAUGUCUUGUUUUUUUUUUAUUAUAUACAAACUAUAUAUUUUGAUUCUAAAAAAAGCUAGAAAAUUAUUUCUCAAAUACCAAGAAUUUAACGAGUAGGUAAAUAUACCUACUCAUCCACUACAUUACAACUUGAGACCUACAAAUUAGAAGUAUAAAAUCUUGACUAAUCUAAAUCAUCAUCCCGUGACUUAAUGUAACCUGGUUAGGCAUUUGAAAAAUAUUUAUUCUUGUUGGCCCACAAAGCACAUUCAUUAAUUUGAUAUAUAUAUAUAUAUAUAUAUAUAUAUAUAUAUAUAUAUAUAUAUAUAUAUAUAAGCAUACGUACAUGUUCAUAUGGCGUACAUGGAUCAACUGUGACCGUUAAUUAUAAAAUCAAUUUGCGAUGAUAGGCAAACUAUCGAUAGAUAAAGUAUAAAUUAACAAGAGUCCUGAGGUAAGAACACUUGGGAGAGAGCAAUUUUAAAAUGCAUAGAGAGGUAGUGGUAAUGGAUAAUUGGUUAUAAUUUUUAAUUGUAAUCUGUGGCAAGUUCUCCCAAUCCCAGGCAGGAAACCUGGAAUUGAGCUGACACCCUAAACCCCGACAAUUGGGUCUUUAAGAAAUGUCUUUUCCCCCCAUAAUCUCCAUUUACCAAUGCUAACAACCAAUUUAAUGCUAAUACACUCUUGUUCUUUAAGAAAAGUUCGGAGUGGAAGUCCUAAUUUACGUUUUGUUUGCUGUUAAAAAUUGAAGGUCAAGGACUUCAUGUUAAGUAUACAGAAUGUUUGAUCCAAAUGUGUAAGAAAUAUAUAUAAUUAAUGACGAGGUUUAUAAAGUAAAUAUAACUCAAAAAUAAUAAAUAUUGUAUAGCGAUAGAGUAAUUCCAUAUUUGGUAUAAGGAAAGGAGAGGAAAAAUUAACGAUGGGUUUUGGAAAAAGAAAUCAAAACACAAAAGAGCAUAAAUCACCAGAAUCUUUCCCCUCAAGGAUUUCUUACACCCCACCCUCCACUGCAAGAUCAAGGAUGGUUUGCUCUUAUCUGUAAAUUAUGUAAAUUGUGUCAGUUAUUGGAUUUUUUUUUGUUGGUAUUUUUUUUAAUUGGUUAUUUUUGCGUAAGUUGUUUUCUUGUAUUUUGAUGAAUAGAAACAUAUUCCCUUAUACUUCUGAUUUAUUUAUGUGUAUAUGUGAUUUGCUAGCUUCCUGAUCUGUUUAAUUUUAAUCUAUUUUAUUUUUACAUUUGAUAAAAAAAAAAGGAUCAAGAAGGGUUAGAAGUUAAUUACUCAUGGGUUAAUCUUAACUCCUUUUGUCUUAAAAUCAAACUCCAUGAAAAAUAAUAGGUGGGAUGGAAAAUUUGGCAAGAGUUUUCUAUUGUGUAGUUCAAGAUAAAUAAUUUUUUUUAUUUUUUGCAUUAUUGGGUAGGCAAUCAACCAAUUAGAGAGGCAUUGACUCCUAGUAGAAAAUCCACAGCAAAUCUUUCCAACUUUGCUGUGAAAGAUUCAGUUGCAUUUUAAAAUUAGCCGAAAGGGAAAUCAUCUAAUAAUCUAUUAACUUUGGAGCAUGAUAUGACCUAUGAGGAAAGUUGAUGAGAAUGAGAUAAUACAUAUUAAAAUAAUAGCUUAGUUGAUAAACUAUAAGACAACUAGUAGUUAAUUGAUUAUUGAAUGAGUCCAUAGGCUUUAAAAAAACAUGAUUUGAAACCGGCCUAUGAUGUUUUCUUCUAGCUGUUUUACAUUAGUAGCUUCUUUUCCAAGCUUGUCUACAAUAAUGGGUGACGAUCCUAAGGGCAAUAUUGGCUGCGUCUGAUGGGGCCGAAGAAGUGAUUUUUAUUUUAUUUUAAAAAAAAACCCUAAUCAAGAGGACACCUGAAAUCCAACGGAGGUUGAUGGAGAAUCUUGAACUACAAGUUUUUGCUUAGCUUUAUGACAAAUGACUAGUUCUAUUGUUUCCCUUCAAAUUCAAAUGGCUUUUAUUUUAUUCUUCCAUUCUUCAACAGUUUUCAACGUUUUAAGAAGUUCUGCAGAAAGUUUAAUUAGAGAUAAACGCUCCUUAAUCGAACACAAGAAUAUAAUUCUCAUCAGUUGGUUUUUUCUCUAUAACUCAAUAGAAUGAAUCUACCAGAUGGAAUGGUCCCAAAAGUAAUCAUGGUUUGUUUUUAUUCAUUAAAAAAAAAACAAAAAACAUGGAUCUAAAGCUGGCCAAGUUAGAAAUGUGAUGGGACUUGAGGAAUAUUAUAGAUUAUUUGAAGAAUUUUAAGGGCUUAAUAAUAAAUUUUAAGGGCUAGUAGUUAAUAUCAAAACAAGGCUCAACUUUAUGGAUAAUCGCGAUUUCUUUUUGAAAUUUCUUGGAGGGACACAAGCCCCUCAACCGUGCAUUAUAUAUAUUUGAAGAGAUUAAUUUUAUUAAAUUAAAUAAGGAUUGAGGUUUAAGGUAGCUUCGUAAAUAGGGUUAAUGGGCAUAGAAAUCAUCAUCUCAUAUGAUCAAAAGGACAAUUAUGAUACUUAAAUAUGAAAUUUCAAACCGAAUGAAUAUUUCGGUUACCACCUAAAUCAACCGUUUGAGGAAAUGAUAAUUUAUUGACGAUGAGUUCUUUGUAAUCAUUAAUUUUAAUUAACUUUCAUAAACGGAUUCAUAUUUAUUAUUUGAUUACAAAUUACCCUAUUGAAUCAACAACUCUUAAUCACUCAAGUUUGAAAUUGUUUUAUUAUCCAGCUUCACUUUUCUUUCUCUCUUUUUAUUUUUUUUAUUUUUCUUCCUGCGUUGUUGAACACUCAUUUAUCUAAACCCCAUCCGAUCUAUCACAAGAUUUAAUUUUUUUAACCUAUGCCAUUUAUGCCCGGAGCACAAAAUGGAACUGAAGCACUCGAGAUCUCUGCUGCACAAAAUGGAUGUUUCCAUUGAAGCAAAAAUCUAAUGUCAAAGACAUCUUUAUUCAAUUUCAAACAUAUGUUAGACAUACCAAUAAAAUGUUGGUCUAGCGGUUAAGACAUCGCAACAUCCCUGCAAGGAUAAAAACAUACAAAUUUAAUUUUCAGGAAGUGUACUUGUUAGGAGAAGCAACCACGAACCCCGAACGAGCCUAGUCUCACCCUUUAAAAAGGGUGUGAGGAUACCUAGACCAGCACAAAAAACAUGUGUUACGCAUCAUUUUGAAACCAAAAUCAAAACUAUUUAAACUGAGUGGGUAACAAAUAAAAAUGUGUAAACAUCCAUUUAAAAAAGAUCAGACAUUAAUUAUUUACUAUUUUCUUAUCCUUAUACGCACAAAAAAAUGGAUUCGGUUGAAUAACGUCAUCGUUAAAUUAUAAAAAUACAUCUUAUCUUGUUAGCUCACUCUAGAAGAAAACUUUUCGGGCAACUACUUAUAUUAUUAAUCGAUUACGUACCAAAACUUUACAAAAUCAAUCUCUCUUUGAGAACGCAAUAAAUAAAUAAAAACUAAUUACAAUUUUAGGCCUAUCUUUAGUUGUGCUUGCUGGCCUAACUUACUUACAUAUAACGAAUGCUUGGUUAAUUCGUCCAUAAAUAAAAUUACAAUAAACGCGGGACUCUUUGCCAACUAGAUAUUUAGAAUGCUUUCCUCCAUCAAGACCUCCAAGAAGAAGUAUAUAUACAACAGCCGCAAGGUUUCAAACAUCCAGAUUUUCCCAAUUAUGUUUAUCAGUUGUGAAAAAGUCUUUAUGGCCUUCGUCAAGCAUCUCGUGCUUGGUUCUCCAAACUCACAAAAAAAAGUUACAGCAGUAAGGUUUUCAAGGUUAUAAGGCAAACACAUCUCUCUGUAUAUAUUUCAACAAGGUCCUCUUCAUUUGAUCAUACUUAUUUAUGUGGAUGACAUGUUUGUUAACAGUUAUAACAUGGCAACAAUUUAGAGAUUUAUCACUCGGUUCUCCUAUGAUUCUCCGGUUAAAGACUUGGGAUCUUUAUCUUUGUUUCUUUUUUCUUGAAUUUGAAAUAUUGCAUGAUAAAGUUAUAAAAAGGAUCCUAUGUUAUCUCAAACACAUAAUUUCCUUCAGCUUUUUUUUAGCAACUCAAAUCAUUCAUUACAAUAUGGUUUCAGUGAUGUCAACUGGGCGGCAGACAAUGAUGAUCGUAAAAGCAUUGGAGUUCACUGUAGUUUUCAUGGUCACAAUCACAUUUCAUGGAGUUGUAAGAAGCAGAAAAAAAUUGCAUGUAGUAGUAUGGAAUCCGAGUAUAAAUCUCUAUCCAACAGUGCUGCUGAGAUUCAAUGGUUACAUUCUAUACUACAAUAUGAUCUUCUAACUGUCCCCAGCUAUGGUGUGAUAAUAUUAGAGAAACAUAUCUGUCUUCGAAUCGAUCCCAUGUUCCAUGCCAAAGCUAAACAUAUUGAAAUCGAUUCCAUUUUGUUCCAGAUCAGGUUUUACAGAAGGAACUUCAUGUCUUUUUUUGUGUCCACAAAAGACCAAUUUGUUGAUCUGCUCACAAGACGACUCUCUAUUGCUCAUAAAUUCAUUCUAUUACAAACCAACCGACAUGUGCACGAGCUGCCCAUUUGGUUGAGGAAACGAAACGAAACGAAAUCUUAAAACCUAUGACAUUUGAAUUUUUAUUCACUUCCUUUGUUUAUCCAAUGAAUCUUACACUGUGAUGAUAAUUGACUUAUAUUUGAGAACUAUUAGUAUUAAUUUUUUGUAAUGGAUAAUAUUCAGGGAUGGAGCUAGGAAAUGUUUUUAGGAGAGCGAAGAUUAGGAAAGAUAAAAAUUUACAGAGGCUCAAAAUUUAAAUCUUACUAAUUUUGACCCUAAAAUUAUAAAUUCUUCGAGGGGGAGCUAGGGUUUUUUUUUUCUUCCCCUUACCAGCCUCCCCACCUGAUAAUAUCCCUGCACCUGAAUAUUCUACAAGGCAGUUUAGAUCCCCAUAAAUCAAUCAGAAUAGAGUAAAGAACACAUCGCAACCAACCAAUAAUUAAUAAUUAAUGCUCAUAAGAUCAUCUAUAUAAAUUCUCUACUGUUGCUAUACGAGCACAUAAUUAAGUCUCCAAUUUCGUGGUCCCUCCAUGGUGACAGAACAGAAUGGGACUUCUUGAAAUUUUUGUGAAGGACCCAUAGCAACAUUAAACCCAUAUCUAUCAAUCAAUCAACAUUUUUUUUUUAAAAAAAACCCUCCAAAUGAAUCUCUUUCAAUUUUAAUUAAAAUAACAACCACCAGAUGAUGGUGCUUCUGAUUCUUUAAGCUCUUUAUUGUAACAGAUUUCCAAUUGAAAUAAUUAAACUGAAAUUUAAAUGCAAAAGAUGACAACAGUCUUGGCUAGACGUUGGCUUGUUUUCCUUUUCCUUUUGUAUUUUUGCCUUUUUUUUUCUUUCCAACAUCCUCGUGCAUGGUUAGCACUAAGAUUAUUAAAAAACCAAUUCAAUAUAAAAUUUAAACUAUUAGAUAAGAUUUCAAGAUAUAAUUUAUAUUAUUAUUUAUUAUACUUUCUCAAGUAAAAGUUUUUUGGACUUGAAACUUGUACAAACUUAUACUAUUAUGUUCUUAAUUUUUAUCAAAUAAAUGAAAAUGCUGGUGAAAUUCAAACUUGUGACCGCUUGGUCAUAAAAGUUUUGAUACUAUGUCAAAGAAUCAAUUCAAUCUAAAAACUUAAAUUAUUAGGUGAGGUCUCAAGAUAUGAUUUAUAUUAUUCUUUAACAAAGACUUGAAUAAAGUUAAUUAUUGAAUUAACUAGAAAAGCUUAGAGAAAAAAUGGUUAGUAAAACAAAUUCAAAUAAUACAAGAGUUAAUUAAUUCACUAAAUUAGAAAUACAUGGAUAAGAACGAAUAAUUGAGACAAAAUAAUUAUAUGAACUAUUAAAGAGCGAGGACAUGCUUAAUCAUGCACAUAUAACUACAAGGAGUCCACAAGAAAAGAGAAAGCAGAAAUAAAUUAGCUAGUUUCAAUUUUCAUGGACCGUCAAAUUCAUCAAAUUGGCCUUUUCCUACAAGUUAAACGUAUACAAGAUAAAAGGGAGAGUAGAAUCUAUUAGAAUAUUUGUAGUGGCGAUUACAUCAGUGCUAACAAACGUGUAAAAGUAUAUUUGUGGAAAAAAACGUUCAGGCCGGAGGGUGUGGGUGAGGGACCAUCACAGACGUAAUUAGCAUUUUUCAUGGCUGAUGAUGAUAUAAAUUAACAGUGAUGCAUGCUAGCUAGAUCCACUAUCAGUAGCUAGACAUCACCAAAUAAAGUUAACCUUUCUUUAGCUAGGCUACUGUGUGCUUUGAUCUAAAAGGCCUUCUAAUUUGGUGUAGCAUUUUUCUUAAGAACAUUAUGUAUCGUCCAGAAAGUUGACGAGGAGCAAGUUCUCAGGAGACAUAAAAGACGAGCCACUUGAUCGGUGAGGAUUAUUUAUCUGGACAGCGGGGACAAGAACAAAAUUUCAUAAUUCGAUGUCUAGGCAUCAAACCUCGCAUUCCACCAUCAAAAAGAAAAAUAUUGAAAGACAAUGGAAUUAUUCACCUUCCCGAUUUUGGUUUUUUCCUUUUCAUUUUCUUUUCAUAUUUGACUAAAUUGCAAAAACAUUGUUGCAUAUAUACGGUGUUACAAUCGUCCUUAUAGAAUAGAAAUGAUGUUGGAGAAAAAACAAGAAACUUUAUUUUAUCAAUAAAAUAAUAAAGAUUCGUCAUCUAUUUUAAUUAUGAAAAAUUCUAACUAGUUUAAAGUUCAGAUAAAAAACUGAUUGAGUAAAUAAAAAAUAUUAAAAAAUAAAAAAAAAUGAAUAACAACAAACAUCUCCAAGUCACUCCCUCUUUAUUUUAUUGAAUCAAAACUACUUUUUCUUUUAGAUUCAAAAAUUGAUUUAGACUCGUCUCUAUUCAACUUGGAAUAAUGAAUUAACUGAUCUCCAAUAUUCAUAAUAGAAUGCAUUAAUUAUUAGAUUGAGUGAUCUUUGAUUAAAGAUGAUAACGGAGAGAUAUUGAACAAGGUGUUCCUUUUAAAAUCUCAAUUCUCAACUUGCAAAUUUAUCACGUACAUCUUGAUGCUUGCAUGCAUACAUGUCAAGUAAAUUAAAGUUCUUGCAGGAUACGUACCCAUAUGAAAAUAACAUUAUGAUGUUUUAAGGUUAGUUUAUCUAAAUAAAUUGAGCUUUGAAUUCCAAAAUAGUGCUAAAAUUUAAUUUGAGCAUGUUUAUGGAUAUAAACAAAAAUCAAAUAACUGAAGUAAGUGAUAGUAUCAACCAUGGAAGCAUUAAAAAUACUCUGAAACCAGUUUGUAUAUUAAUUAAGACUAUCAUUUUAAAAUAAUUUUAAGAAUGUAUUUUCACAUAGAAAUGAUGCAUUUAAAGGAGUCUAAAUAGAUAAUGUUUAAUAUUUGAAUAGAAAAAACGUAUAUUCAGAACAUCCUUUUACUAACUAACGUGGUACAUAAAGAUUAGAUUAUUGUCCAGAGUUGGUUCUCGUAAGAACUCCAGUAAAAUUAAAUAAUUUAUUCUAUCAGGAUAUAUUCAGGAGCUCUUCAUUAAUAUAAAUAGCUUUUCUUUCUCCAUAUAAUAACAACACUAAAGAUAAUAUCAUAUAUAAUUUCCUAUGCAGUAGAACAACCCUGCUAAUUGUAUACAAAUGAUCCACAGUGAAAGAAAAAGGGAAAUCAAGCAUGAGAAUCAUGGAAAACCUGAAAAAGGUGCGGGAAAAAGACUCGAUCAAGAGGGAAAAAGACCAGAUCCACUGGCAUCUCAAUACAUAACUGCACCCACAUUCAUUUUCUGCCAUAUUUUACAUGAUAAUUAGCUGUAAUAUUGUUUUCCACAUGUUGUGGUGCAGGGAAUCAUGUAAAUAUAUGUGAGCUGAUCAUUAAUAGUAGAGGAGAUUGGUUGGCUAAUAUGCAAUUACAUUUUUUGCCAGUAAAUUCUACAAUAACGUUAUGCGUUACCAUUUAUCACACUUGAUCUUGUCUCUCUUAAAGAGCAGUAGUGGUGUCUGGCUUUAUUCAAGCAGCAGCCAGAGUUUCACUUUUACGAGAAGACUUGGAGCUUGUUGUGGAUGCUGAUGCACGACGAUCUUCGUUCUUUGAUGCUAUCAUAACAUUGCCCUUUUCUUUUCUCGCAUCUUGUUUCAUCUGCUGUUCUCUGCACUCUUGACUACAAAAUGCCAUAUCUCCCCUGCAAUAUUGUCACACACUCACAGAAAAGAACAUAUAUUAGACACACUAAUGCAAGCAAGCUAGCAGUACUUCAUAAAAUAAAGUCAUAGCCUUCUAAUAUAGCACAAGGAGAAGAGCUAAUAUAGUAAAUUUAAAGAAUUGAAUUUGCAAAACGGUUGAGACUAAGAAGGGAAGAAAAGAAAAGAAAAGAAAAGAGAGAGCUGAGAUUCGAUGCACGAGCAGAUCAGUUUCUUCAGAUUAAAAAAAAAACAAAUAAUCUCACACAAACUUCUGCAUUUAGUUCAUGACUGAACAUAAUAGGAUGUAAUAAUUUACUUCAUUAUAUAACUUUAUUUUUUGCUAAAAUUAUAGCAAUUUUUCAUAAGAUUAAAGUACAAUAUACAGUAAUAGGCAGAUCUUUACAAGUCCACCAAACUUCAAAGCAGAAAAUCCUUCAGAAUUCAUGAAAAUAAAAGAAAAGUACGACCGGAAGAACAAAAAAAAAUCCAACAAAUAACUCGAAAGAAAAGUUAUAUAUAAAAUAAAUUAAUGAACAUACCUAUACAUGAAUAAGUCUUUCCCAGGACCCAACCGGCGUUUACAAAGUCCACAAGUCCUCAAGAAAUGAGCAGCCUCCACAAAAUGAUCACUAGAGUCACUGCUCCUGUAGUGGUUUCUUGGUGACACCAUGGUGGCCAAUAAACGUUGAUCAUGUAAUAAGAAUCCACUAGUAUUACCACCAUCAAAAGCAUCCACCAUGUUGUUGUUGUGAUGAUAAUCAAGAGACCCUUCUUCUGGUCCCGCAGUUGCAUGAAGGGUAUCAUUAUUAUCGGAAUUAGGCUCUGAUGAGCCCGCGUCCACGUUGCGAGGAAGAUCAACGGUGAUACCAGUCAUGCUUGCCGUUCUUCUCAUGGGUCCCCUUGGACGCUUCCCUAGUAACAUCCUUCCCCUCCCUUUUCUUCCUUUCGUUCUUUACACCAGAGAGAGAGAGAGAGAGAGAGAGAGAGCGAGUGAGAGAGUGAGUGAUAAUGGAAGGAAAAGGAAGGGAAGGAGAGAAGAUAACAGGAGGAGUGGGGUGGGGGGGACUUGGAGCGAAUCUUGGCCGUUGCUUGCGGGCACAGGGUUCUAAGAACUCCACGUCACGCUUCUUUUCUCUCCUCGCUUUUAUGAGUAUGAAUGCUGUCUCCACUCCUCUACUCUCUUGGUGUUUUUAUAAUGUUUUUUUUUAAUUAUUAUUUGUGAUUUUUUUAUGCCUGCACAUUAAUUCUUGUCACGUCAAGUGUUAAAAAAAAAAAAACAAUAAUGCUACUAAAAUAUGUACAAUCUGUUGGAUAAUCCAUAAAACUAAUUUUCUAUGUAAAUUUAAUGUAUCUAUCUACUUCAAAUGUUUUAAGAAUAGUUAUUUAAUUCCUGCUUUGAUAUAUUUUAAUUUAGAGUUUCUUAAAUAAUUGAUGAUGAUUUCCAGACUUCUAUAUAUUUAGCUUCCUUCUUUCUGACUGAUCAAUAAUAAUAUCUAUAUAUUAUGAUGGAAUCAUGAUCAAGAUGUGUCGACUAAUCAUGUAACAUCUAAGCCUUUGAUUAAUUGAAUUAUUCCACAAUAAGGUUAAAUAUUGCGAGAUAUUCUCCUUCAACGCCAAAGAUUAUUAUUAUUUUUUAUUAUUUUCUUGUAGAUAUAUGCCUUACUUUAUGCGUAGACUUUCUCUUGUAAAUCUAGUUGUAAAAUAAAAAAAUUUUACCAAUUAAAUUUUAUCAUGUAUCAUUAUAAUUUUAUUUUUAUAUAAGAAAAUAAAGUGAAAUUUAAAUAAAUAAUAUGAAAUAUUUUUUAGAAAAUAAAAAAAUGACAUAUGAGAUGUGAUAUUUAAGAUAUUUUAUUAUAAAUAUAAAAUCUCAUAAAUAAGAAUCAACUAAUAAAAUAAUAUCAUGUGACAUUGUCAAAAGACCUUAGUAGCUCUAUAGAUCUCUAUAAAUAAUGGGUCUCAUCCUAGACAAAGGGAGAUUCUGCUUAGAGAUAUAAAAUUUUCUUCAAGACAAGAUUUUCAAGCAAAAAAGCUCUCUUAAAAGCUCUUAAACAUUCUUCAUUUACGCUCGAAGUCUACAAAAAACGAAGCUCUGUUGGAUCAAGGUUAAACACCUCACAAGAGUUUUUCAAUAACACUUUGAAGAUAAAUCAAAGAUACUCUUUAAAGAAUCAAAGUAUUAAAUCAAAGUUUGAGUUAUUGACGCGAAUUAGACCUGUUAUGACAAGUUUCAAUCCUACAUUUAGUUCCUAUAAAAAAACAAAAUCCAAAUGAACUAAACUUUUACAUGAGAUGCGAUUAGAACCUUAAAACUUGGUAUAUCAAAUUUGUGAAUUUUUUGAAUUUAUUUUACCCAAAAUUCCCUUCUGAUAUGAAUAUGACAUGUUAUAACAAGUUUUAAUCCCAAUUUUAGUUAAUAUAGCAAAUGAUCUCCAAAUGAGUUCAAAUUUUAUAUGGGUUGCGAUUAGGACUCCUAGAACCAUUAUAUAAAAUUUGAGAAUUUUGUGAAUUGGUUUGGUCUAAAUUAUCCCUUUUUGUGUACUAUGGCAGAUUCGACAAAAAUAACUCUUGGACGUUCUUUUCUUUCUUUCUUUCUUUUUUACUCUUUAUGCUACUGAUAUAUUUUGAGACAGCAACAAAUUAAAAUAACACCCUUUUUUUAAGGAACUCUAUAUGCAAAUUACUAAGCUCCAGUGAAAUAAUCAAAAACCAAAUAAAAGAUAAGUAAAACUAAGGAAGCCGAAACUAACAAGAAGAAAAUAAAAGAUCAUUUGAUAGAAGUGUGACAUAAUAUAAAAAUAUCCCAAGACACCAACACUAUUGGAAUAAGAAACCCCCACCUAACGAAUACUAAUUCGUGAAUGAGAAGUAUAAGGAAGACGCCACAAGGUCAGUUAUACCUUGAUGAGUCAAAUUUGUUUUUUUUUUCCUAGCAAAGAAAACGUGUUGCAUCACGCAAAAUACAAAUUUAUUUCAUAAAUCCAUCGCUCUGAAAAUUUCAGCUUGCAAGACCUUAUAUAAUAGUUCAACUAGCAACCCUAAUGGACCCAAAACUUGUGGGCUAAUAUUUACCCAUUUACAAUAAACCCAACAUAUGUUAACUAAGUCCAAAAAUGAAGAAAAUAAUAAAAAUAACUAAUCAGACACAUAAACUAAAGUUGUUGCACUAAUUAAACAAAAUAACCUACCAUAAGAUAAUUUUUCUAGUUUCAAUAAUGUCAUAAAUGAAAUUCGCAUCUUAGAAACACUAGGGUUUUUGAUGCCAUCUUUAGAUAUCCAAAAUAAUCUAGAAAAUUGAUUGCUAAAGUUGGCCCCCCCUUUAAUUUUCUUGUUUGUCUAAGAUAAUUAAUUGUAACAAUCCAAGAAAAAGUUGAACAAGGAAAUUCAGAUUUUAACGUAAUUGUGUUUACUGUCCAGUUUUACAGCAACUUUGAAAACGUACCUAGAUCAAGGGCACAAAAGAAAAAAGAUCCUUUCAUGUUUGAUAGAAGGUUAUAAAUUACCAAACUAGAUAAGUUAUCAAAAGUAAUCAUCUUUGAGAAAUUGUUCAUCAAGUGUCAUAACCAUUGAGUAAUAUCUUGUCAAGCAUUACAAUCAUUGAGUAAUGAUUUGUCAAACAUAGCAACCAUCGAGUAAUGAUUCAUCAAACAUAACAAUCAUUGAGAAAAGAUUCAUCAAACUCCAUUAUUAUUGAGUAACCAUGUGUCAAGCACAAUAACUAUUAAGAAACAGUUCAUUAAGCACCAUAAACAUGAAGUAACAUUUCAUCAAAUGCAACAACCAUUGCAAAAUGAUUUGUCAAGCUCUAUAAUCAUUGAGAAAUGGUUUUUCAAGCACCACAACUACUAAGUAAUAGUUCAUCAAACAUAAAAACCAUUGAGAAACAGUUUUUCAAACUCCAUAAUUAUUGAGUAACAAAUUAUCAAGCACCAUAAUUGUAGAGUAACAUUUUGUCAAACGUAAUAAUAAUUGAGAAAUGGUUCAUCAAACUCUAUAAUGUUAAGUAUCAGCUUAUCAAACACCAUAAUUGUUGAGUAAUGGUUUGCCAAAAGCGAUAAAAAAUUAGUAUCAGCUCACCAAAAGCAUUAACCAUUAAGAAAUGGUUCACACACUAAACUUCAAAACCAAUAACCAUUGAGAAAUGGUUCAAACACCAAAUCUCAUUGAUCAAUAUUCAAUUAGAAAAUAUAUUUCAACCAUAACCUAUCGGUCCAAAUGUUCUUAAUAUCAAGAAAUAUUUUUUUGUAAGGAAAGCUUGCAAAUAUAGGGUAUGAUUUUCUAAGCAUCGUCAUGUGGUCAUGAUCACUAGCUUAAACAUAUAACUUCUUAUAAAGGUUGAUGCUUUAAAAAGGAGGAGUUAGUUGGUGCUGGAAAUAUCAAAUGGCAAGUGCUUGAAAAAAAAUAGAGAGAUGAGCCAUACAUAGAUUUUUUUAAAAAAAAAAAAGCUAAAAGAGAAAAUAAUAGUAUUUUCUCAUAAUGGAACCGGAACAUUCCAACUAGAAUUUGGGUGAAAUUUCCACAACAGGCCAAGAUUCUGAGCAAUAUGAAAUAUGUUCCAAUUUGUUUUAUUUUUUGAACUAGAAUGAGAUAUACCAGCCAUUCUAGACUAAACAAAACAAAAUUGACACCUUGAUACAUGCCUGCUAAGUGGAGGCCAAUGACAAGAAAAAAAAAGUGAAUGCUGCUAGUAACGUCUGCAAAAGAGUGGUCUAGCAUUGUUAGGGUCAAAAUUGGUCAUUUGUGCAAAUAUUUUCCUUCUUUCUAAUAGCAUAAUGAAAGAAAUUGGCCAUUGGCCAUUUGCAUUGUUAAGGUCAAAAUUAGCCCUUUGUACAAAUAAUGAAAUAAAGUGGCCAUUUAUAAAAAUAUUUUUUUAUAUUUUAUCAAAUCAUGGCCUAUUUUUAAUCAAAGUUUGAUUUAAUCCUAAGACGUUUAAUUUCAUUAAUUUCUAAUCAUGACCAAGUUUGAUUUCAUAACCAAAAACAAUUGAUAAGGCAUGAAAUUUAUCACCUAAUUUUAAGUGCAUAGAAAUCGAGACGAGAGAGAAAGGGAAAUCAAUGUCUUUCACAUCAGCCAUUACCCAUCAAUCGUUAGUCAAAAUUGUUACCAAAUCACCCCCCAUUGAAUUUUAGACUAUGAGAUCUUAAAAAAAAAAAAAGAUCCCAAAUUAACCAUUUUCAACGAAAAAAUGAAGUUCUACAGUCAGUCAAAGUUAAUGGUAACUAUUCAUGCAUUAGAGAAAACUUUAAGAUUUCCACUUUGAUCACUAAAAUCUAUAAUUCCUUCAAAAUGGACCUCAAACUUUGAUUUUAUUAUUUGAUUUGAUAAAUUUCAAUCAAAGUUGGUCUCUAAAUUUCUAAUUUCAACAAUUAUAUUUUAUUUCAUAAUAAAAAUAUCUAUAUUAAUUUAUUGUGAAAAUUUAAUAUGACUAAAUAAAAAAUAUAAUCAAAGUAUGAAGCCCUCUUAACCAUAUUGGUUUAGACAUGCCCACUUAUUUUUAAGUUUAAGUAAACUUGUCUCGAGGAGGCAUCUAUAGAAACAAAAAUUUUCUAUCAAUCAAAUUUUGCCAUGUCAUUUUUAUUUUAUUUUUACAUAAAAAUAAAGUAAAAGUAUUAGAAAUAACUUGGAAAAUAAUUUGUGUGUGUGUGUGUGUGUGUGUGUGUAUCUUGGUCACUGAAAGGAACCAUACAUGGAAUGCGAUAUUUAAGAUAUUUUGUCAUAAAUACAAUAUCCUAUAAAUAAAAAUUAACCAUUAAUGUCAUGUGGCAUUGGAAAAAAAACCUUAGUGCUCCUACAAACUAGGAGUGAUCAUUUUCGGUUCGGUUCGGUUUUUAUCCAAAAAAAGUAACUAAACCGAAAUUUUUUUUUUAAAAAAACCAAAACCGAAUUGAAACCGGUUCAAAUCGACCGGUUUCGGUUCGGUUCGAUUCGGUUUUUUAGGACAAAAACCGGUUCAAACCAGUUUGGCUCGGUUUUGGCUCAGUUGUUUUGUUUUGGCUCGGUUUUUUUCGGUUUGACUCGGUUUUUUUCUGGUUUUUUUCAGUUUGGGUUCGGUUCGGUUUUAGGCUUAUAAAACCAAAACCGAACCAAAUCGGUUUAAUCGGUUUUUUGGUUAUUUCUUUUUCUGGUUUUCUCGGUUUUUUCAGUUUUUUGGUUUUUUGGCUCACCCCUACUACAAACCUCUAUAUAAAGAGGGCUCACAUUAGACAAAGGGAGAUUCUAAAUGGAGAUACAAAAUUUUCAUCAAGACAAGAUCUACAAGUAAGGAAGCUCUCUUAAAAGUUUUCAAACCUUCUUUAUCUACGUUUAAAGCAUACAAAGAACAAGGCUUUGUUCGAUCAAGCAAAAAUGCUUUAUAAGAGUUCUUGAACAAAACUUUGAAGAUAAAUUAAAAGUAUUCUUCAAAUCACCAAAUUUGGCUCUACAAUACACACAUAAAUUCAUGUUCUAGCAAACCACAAAUAUUUGCUUGAUUUCACAAAUAAAUCAAGUCGUUAUAAAUCAUAGGAUUAUUUUAUUCUUUUGUAAAAAUAUUUCAAAUAAAGAUUGUACCGGUUAUAUAUUUAAAAAAAGUCAAAUAUUUGUAAACAUGUGCUUGCUUAAUUUUUAGAUACUCAAAUUUAUGUAUAUUUACAUAUCUUGUACAACUUUAUAAGGGAAUGUAAUAAAAUCAUAAAAUCAAACUCUUGCUUCCAAACCUCAUGUUUUCUCGGUAUAAUCUUGAAUGGAAUAUAAAAUAAAAGUAAAAUCAAUGAUCACCUCAUCAUUUCCUUUUCUUAUUUAGGCAUCUAAUUUUGCAUUCACAUCUUAAAUAACCUUAAUCAUUCCUUUAUAACAUUCCUUAUUGAAGAUUUGUAGCUUUCCUACUUCAUAUUCCAAACUUCUUUCACCAUUUUAUCUUGCUAACAUUGAACUUUAGAAUGGUCUGAGUUAAUCUUUCAUUCAUUGCUACAAUCUCAUUAUAAUCAUUUUCAAUUAUAUUCAUCUUGAUUUUAUAUUUCUCUUCAAUUUCUUUAGUAAAAUGUUUAUACCUCUCUUUAAGUAUCUUAUUAGCUUAUUUCACUCUCUAUUCAAAGAGUAAAUACCUAUCUUCUACAAUCAUAAACUUGUUUUCUUUUUUAUUUUCUAUUUGUUUCUUUUAAAGGAUUGGUUCUCUAUUUUCUUCUUCAACAUGGUCAUCCAUAAAUUCUUCUUUUUCUUCUAGACUUUCAAGUAAUUUUGAUCUUUUUGGUGUCAUAGUUUCAAAGAAUAAAUAUGACAUUCCCACUAUGGUCACCAAUUAUUUUGUAGGUUCUUUUAUGUUUGUCUUAAUUAAGAGGACUUUAGUUUCGUUUCAAGGUUUAAUAGUGAGUCUAAUGUGAGCACUUUAUACAACUCUAGAUUUGUAAUUCCUAACUCAUAGCAAUGCCAAAAUAUAAUUUAAUACACAAGUAAUCAAAUAUUUAAUGCUAUGAAUGUAAAUAAGAAAUUUAAUAAUUUAAGAUUAAAAAACUUAUAUCCAUUGGAUGAUCUUUGCAUUGAUUAUAACCAUACACUAGAAUGUCUUGAAAAAAGAACAUGAACUGAUGUUUUUAUUGUUUUCUAGUUUUUCUUGAUAAUGGAAAUUGUAAGCCUAUUAUAUUGCAAGCCUAUUGAUUUAUCACCUACCGAUUACAAGCCUAUUGAUUAUCACCUAUAAGUUACUUGCAUAAUGGUUACUAUUUGCUAGUUAUUGCCUACUGAUAAAUAGGUUUUAAAGAUCCUACAAACUUGAUUGAAUUGUAGUGCAGUUGUUGUUGAUUUAUUGAGUUGUUCUUAUGUUUGAUUGUCCUCUUCUUCUCUUUUUAGCAUUCUUUAAAUAGGGAGAAUUAUAGAAAAACACCUGGAAACCACCCAUCUUUUUUAUUCUUCUUAAUUUUAAAGAUGCACAACUCCAACUGCCUUUCUUCAUUGUUCCACGUGUUUCUGUCAAUUUUUUCUUAAUCAUGUCUUUUCUGCAUCCGACCUUUUUUUUUUUUCCAAACUCCUUUAUUAUUAAUUUAUUAUAUAACACCGUGUCAAGUUAAUUUACAAGGAAAGAUAAGUUAAUGAUGUCACAUACUCACUAGCAAAGCAAAGUAUAGGGAUAAUGCUAAGGAUUUCCUUGUGAUAUGCAUCAUAUCCCAGCUGCUUCCUUUUUUUUAUUUAUAAUACUAAAAAUUAUGAGCCAUCUUCUUGUUAGCCACAGAGUUGAAUUUUAUUUACUUGUAUCACUAAUAAUUUGGAUAAUCUUUUUAUAAACAUAAAAAAGGAAAAAAAAACAAUAUUCAUAACUACUUGUAAAUGCCAAAAUAAUGAUUUAGUGGAAAAAAGAAGAAGGAUUCUUACUUAAAACCACAAUCAAAAUUGGAUCUAAUACUCUUAAUUAAUGCCACCAUCAAUUUCUCUAAUCUAAACUUAUAUUUUAUGCUAUUUCACUUAUUUGUAUUGAAAAGCAGCGUGAUGAUGGUAAAAUUCUUUUUUUUUUUUAACAAUGGUUAAACAGAUAAAUUACACUUGGAAUGAUGUAUUUACAAAAUAUCAUUUACAAUCUCCUUAAAAAUUUGAAUUUAGAUAAUAAUAUGAAGACAAAAACCCACAAUAAGACUAUGUUAUGUUUAAAUUGAAAAAUCUCAUUGCAAAUAGGCUUCAUAGAGCCAAUUGUAUGUUGUAUUGGUAUAUAACAUUGUCACUACAAUAGUUUACACUUCUCUAUUAUUUUAAUAAUUUCAUGAAAAUUAUUUUUUUGUUUAUUUUUUAACAUAUUCUUAAUCAUGAUCAAUCCUCAUAAAGUAUUUUCAUGCGGUAAAUUAGAGGAAUUUUUUUUGGAUAGCAUAAAAUUAUUAUUUCAUAAAAAAAUAUUGUUUUGCACUCUGGUAGGAUGAAUUGUGCAUGCGUAAUCAGGCCAGGAAACUAAUGAAGUAUGUGGCCCCAAAAAUAUUGGGAAAUGGCAAGUAUAUAAUCUACUAAAGCAUACAUAUUCACUAAUAUAUUUCACAACAAUUAUAGUAUCAAGGAGAGAUCCAAGAAAUAACAAGACCCCUAGAUAAUUGAAUAUAAUAAAAUCAUGAAAACAACUUCAAAUAAAAACUAGGUUUUUCAUAGUUACGUCUUGUUUGGUGGAGAGAUGGGCUUGAAAAUAAAGUUUUAUCUCUAGUUUGGGCUGUUUAUGAAAAAACAAUUUCCUAUUAGAAUAGUGAACCUUGCGAUGCGUAUGUUAAUAAAUGUAAAAGGAGAUAAUAAUAUACAAAAAGAUAAAAAUAAAAUGAAGUUAUAGGGAGAAGUAUUUAUGUGUAGUCUAUGUAUAGAUUCCAGGUCUUAAGACCUAUAAAUCUUGACCUUACAUGACCUAGGAUAGGUUUAUAACUUGUAUGGCAUAUGACCUAAAACUUGUAUUUUUCAUGGCUAAAGCCUCACUUUCUUACAUGGUGAUUGGGUGUAUUUAUACAUCAAUCCUUGAGCUUUUCUCAUGGAGAAGAAGAAUAUUUUUCUAGUAAGUUGAGCUUGAUUUUCUUUAGAAAGUUGAGUCAUAGGUUGUUAUGUCGUGCUCGUCAUUAGUGAAAAAAUUGGUGAUGCCACUGGCUAUUUCAUAGGCAUGAAGUGUAGACGUAGGAGAAAAUCUAACACACUAAGAUAGGUAAAGAGUGGUGUAGUAAUCAAUAUAGAAAUAGGGUGCUACUAUGCUUGGCCUAAAUAUGUAGUUUUUUGUUUAAUUUUCUUGUAUUUUCACCCCCUUCAAGCAUUUUAAACACUCAUGUUUAGAAGAUUUUAAGCAAAAAGGUGGGUAAAAUACUUAAAAUAUAAAUGUUACCUUUUAUAACUUUUGUUAAUGUGUUUUCAUGAGAUUUAUUCUCGUAAUUUCUUGUUAAUAUUUUUAUAAGAGAUGAGAGUUCAUCAGUUUUAAGUGUUCCUUUUAUAGCAAAGAACAUCAGUUUUAAGUGUUCCUUUUAUAGCAAAGAAUAUUGUUACUUAAAACAUGUAAAAUACUUUAUGAUCAUAAAAACAAUGUUAAAGCAUUGUGUAACAAAGUGUUUUAUGGGGACAUAGAGAUCUCAUCAUAAAGAUUUUAAUUAGAGACAUUAAAGACACAUUUGGAGAUAUAAAGAUUUUAUUACAGACAUGGAGAUCUCGUAGUGGAGAUUGUUCAUUGGAGACAUGGAGAUUUUUCAUUGGAGAUAUUAGAGAUAUGAAAAAACAUCACUACUUUUAUUCAAAAGUUUAAAAAAUAUUGGAGAUAUAAUUUUGAAAAAUUAUAUGAUCUUGGGCAUGAGGGUUUCUCCUUAUUUGUUGAAGUUAUAUCUCUUUAUUUAUAAAUUGUUGAAGGUAUGGCCUAGAACUUGUAUGAUGUAUGACCUAGAACUUGUAUUUUUCUUGGCCAAGGCCUUACUUUCUUACCAUGUGACUUGAUAUAUUUAUACACCCAGUCCUUAAGUUUUUUUCAUGGAGAAGGAGAAUAUUUUUCUAGAAAGUUAAUUUGAUGUUCUCUAGGAAGUUGAGUCAUGGAUUGUGUUGUGUUUAUCAUUGAAGAAAAUAUUGGUGAUACCAUUGGUAGUUUCAUAGGCAUGGAAAGUAAGCACAUGAGAAAAGCUAGCACAACAGGGCUAGCCAUAUAGUGGUAUAGCAAUUGUUGUAGAAAUAGGGUACAACCCUGUAUAGCAGAGGCGGAAUCAAGGGGAGGCAAGCAGGGGCCCGGGCCCCUGCAAAGAAAAAUUAUGAUGACUGAUUCUGUAGGUUUUAUUGCUCUUAGUAACAGUGUAAGAAGAUGUAAUAUUUAAAUAGAGGGCCGUCUAAUAGUAAAUAUAUUUGUUGUUCAUUGACUUUAAAAUUAUCGUGGAAAUGGAAAGAAAAAAUAUAAAGUUAUAAAUAAUUUUUUUAACUUAAUGGAUUUUACCCUUUUCUCUUGUUGCAGCCCUAAUAUGAAAGGUAAAAUAUAAAUAUAUAAAUAUAAAUAGCAAACAGAAAGAUUGAAGGAGAGCUCUAUUAAUUAAUUUUUUUUCAUCAAACAAAUCAAGGUUCGAUGCAGCAUCGCUAACCCUAAAUUUAAAAUUUAUUUUUGUCUUGUUUUGAGAUGUUUGUUAAGAAUUUGAUGAGAUUUUUUUAUAAUUCUAUUAUUUUUGCUUCUUUUUUUUUUUUUGCUCGGAUCUGCUAGUUUUACCAAAAAAAUUUUGAAUUCUUGUUAUAGUGAUGUUUUUUUUCUAAUUAAUUAGAUAUAUUUUAUUGGUUUGUCUUAAUUAUAUAUUUUUUUAUGUUUUGUUUUUAGCAGAACCAUUAAAAUUACCAAAUUUUUUUCUCACGAUGAAGAUGAAAUUAACUUAUCGCUUUGACUCAAUUUGGUAUUGCUCAAAAUCUUUUACCUUGUGCAAAAAUCAUUAUAUGUUUUUAUUUUUUUAUAAUUCAUGUAUAAUAAAUUAAAAAAUAUUAUAUCUUGUUAUAUUAAUUUUGGCCUCCCCUAAUAAAUAAUCCUAGCUCCGCCCCUGCUGUAUAGAAAAAUAUGUGUUAGAGAAUAAUAUAUGCAUGUAUAGUUAUGAAAAAAGAAAAAAAAUGCAAAGGCAUGUGUUAGGAUAGCCCAACCAAAAAUUAAGAAGAAUAUGAUAAAGAAAGUAAAGAGAAAAGAAUAGCUAACCACUUAGGGUAACCUAAAUUAUUGGAUAUUUGUAAAUUGUUUAAGUUUGGAAGUGUUAGUUAUUUAGAUCGAGCUCAAACAACUUAGUUUUUUAUUUUAUUAAAUUCUCUUAUAUUAUCUGAAUUCUAGGGUCUUGUAUAUUUCAUUUCAUGUCGAAAUUUUAGUGGAAAUGAUGACAUGCUCAAAAAGCUGAACAUGUUUAAUUUGAUAGUAAUAAAAGGGCAAGUGAAAGGAAUGAGCCUCGAGGGAUACAUGCCAUAGUGGAAAAGAUUGCAUUAUACAUCCAAAAAUAAAAAAAGGUGGAAUAGAAUGAACCUAAACCAGACGUACACAAUGAGAGCUGAGCGAGGCAGACAGCCAACAAAUAUCUUUCACUUUAGUAGAUGUUCGGCCUUUUUUCCAGGCGACCGAUGUCAUGUGUUUCCUCAUUGUCAGGCCACCAAUAGCGGCACAAACUUAUUAAGUUCAAAAUAUAAAAUAUUUUAAAUAUUAACAAUUAUCUUAAUUUUCGUUUGAAGAGACUUCUUGUGUUUGAACACAAAGUAAAAGAGAAUUUUGUUAUAUGCAUUGCACUGCACUGAAGAAGGCGGUUACCUGCUCUUGUUAUUUAAUUGUGUUUUGCUUUCUUUCAUCCUCGUUUUCUUCUUUAUUUAAAGAAAUGUUAUGACAUGUAAUUAAUUGUUAUUUAAAAUUAUAUUAUUUUAGAUUUUAAAAAAAUUACAUAUAAAAAAAACUAAAAUAAUACAGUUUUGAAAAAAUUAAAAAACAUAAUUGGAUUUUUUUCAAGUUUUAACCUGGUAAUAGUUUCAUCUACUAAAGUACUCAAUUAAAAACUGUUUGGAAGUGUAGUAAAUAUUAUUUUUUAAAUUUUUUUAUUAAAAAAUAUAUUUAUAAUUUUUUAAAAUUUAUUUUUUGAUUUUAGUAUAUAAAAACAAUUUUAAAAAAUUGAAGCUAAAUUGUUUAAAAAAAAACUCAAAAAAUGAUCGUACAUGAAAUAAUAACAUGAAACUUGGCGUCUGCGGGGCUCCGAUUGACCUUUUUAAAGACACUCAAGAUGGAAGCAGAAAAGAACUAUUAUGUGCACUUUCUGUCAAUCAGUGGGUCCCUUGUGGGUCCAUAACCAACGAAUAGUAAACUAGACAUACCGAUCAAGUUAUGUGAGCUUUGUCAUUUACUGGCCCCACCAUCAUGAAAGCUAAGCAACUCCUCUAACCAGACAAGUAUAUUGGUUCCUUUUACCUUCUCUACUUUUUUCUUUUUUUUCUUUUUUACACAAGACAACGAUCGGUAUGAGAACUACCUCUUGUGACCGCGUUGAGCCUGUGGAAUUCUACUUACAAACAAGUUAUGAAUUCAAUAGAUUUUGUAUGAGAACAUGAUAAUAAAAUAAAAUAAAAAACAAUUUUGAAUACGUUUUGGAUGCUCGAAUAUCCGAGGGAAUAAACCAAGAUAUUUUUCUAUUUUAAAACUGAAAUUCUCUUGAAAAGUAGAUAUAAAAGGCAUUUUUAAUGGUGGGAGUUAAGAAUAUUUAACUAGAUAAGGCUCUAAUUCAACAUAAUUAUUUCUUAUUUAAAUGAUAUCCAUCUAAACUAAAAGGUCACGCUAUUAUAUUUGGGUUAUUUUAAAUAAAUAUAUAUAAAAAUUAUCAUUUACUUUUUUUAAUUUUAACUAACAAGAAACUUGAUAUUAUAAUCUCUAGAAAUGAGAAUUAUCUACUUUAACAAUGAAUUAGACAUCAAGAUUAAUAACAUAUUUACAAACUGAAUACCAAUAAUAUGAUGUGUUUUUGGUUCUUUUGUCUCUUUGAUUUUCUCAUCUCUGACUAGACGUAUUGGAUUUGACCCUUCCUCUCUAACAAAAUCGCGGGGGGGGGGGGGGGGGGGGGGGGGGGUGUGGGGUUAUUUGCAGUACUCAAUUCGAAUUUCCCCUUCUAAAUAUGAAGAAAAAUUUAGGAUAUAUAGCGCAUACACCACCCUUUCCCUCGAAUAUUCAUCUUUAAUCUCAAAAGUUAAAAAAAUAAAUUGAAUAUGAAUCUAGGUUUUGCAAAACAUAAUUCUUUUUUUUUAAAAAAAUUACAAUACCUUGAAAAAAUUAAAAUAUCUGGAAGUAUAAAAUUAGAUAUAAAAAUGGACCAAGAAUCGGUUCGAGUCAAACCAAGAUAGUACGAUAGAUAUGUAACCUGGGUAAUAAGAAGUGUGCUAACCCGACUUAAUCCAUAAAAUCCAUGAUCUACGUUAUAUGAUUAUGAUCGAGAUAGCUUGAAAGAAAAAAGUUGAACAAAAGCAACAAAGGUAAUUUUAAAAAAAAAAAAUUAAUGUCAAAUGAUGAAAUCAAAAACAAAAAAAAGAUUAAAAAAGGGAUGUCAUUUAAAAAUAAAUCAAACGAUGAAAUCAAAAACAAAAUAAAAAUAAAAAGGAAUAUCAACCCGCGUUAAAUUUUCAAACUCGUGAUUCGGGUCAUUAGAGUGGAAGCAUCAUGCAUGGAAAAACAACAAGGCACAAUCCUCAGCAAAUAAAAUGUUAAAGAAUGAAACCAAUAAAAAUAAUUAAUGAGACAAAAGGAUCUAAAACAUAAAAAAAAAAAUAGUAAUUAAAAUAAUGAGGGUGAAAGUCAAAAUUAAAAAUAAAUCAGAGGGCAACUAAAUUUUUUUAAUUAGAGGGUUAAAUUGAAAAGAAGAAUAACUCAAACAAAACAAUAAAAAAAUCAAAAGAAUAAGGACUAAAUUGAAAAAAAUAAUACAUCACAAAUUUGGAUUGAACGAUGAAAUUGAAAAUCAAUAAAACUUUUAUAAAAAAUGACAAGGAUCAAAGAAUAAGGAUCAAAUUGAAAUAAUUAAUAUAUGAUAAACUAGAAUUGAAAGACUAAAUUAAAAAAAAACAAAACUUUUACAAAAAAGCCAAGAACAAAAAUAGAAAUCAAAAGAAAAGGGACUGAAGCUGGAAAAUUAAAAACAAAGAGGACCACCCAGCAAUUUAAGGGGGAGAGAGAAAAGAAGGAAAAAAAGAAAAGAAAGAGGCCUACCGAUGAAAAAUCACUCAACCUCCGCCAGCACAGCUACACCGAAAGGAAGAGGACUUAGCGACGGUUCCAACAACAUGAUGGAAGGACAGUUUUGACCAAUAAGAGACACCGCAUAUGACGCAGAGAAUAUGCAGACACCUCCCACAUGCUCCAACAACUUUAAAAAUUUGGAUAUUAUUUAUUUUUUGUUACAAAACUAUAAAACCCUCAAUAAAACAAUAAACAACAAAAAAAAUCAAUAUAAAAAGACAAAAAAAAAAACCCUUGAUCUAAGGCAUUUUUUGUUUAACUUCAAGAGCAUUUAAAUAAUUUUAUUGUGCAUUCAAAAGAAAAUUACUAAAAUUGCCCCUAGACACCAAGCAUAUAUUCUUUGUCUCCAAUGGCAUGUUAGUAUUUGUAAUAUUCAUAGAAAUACAAAAAGACCCAAUAAACUAGGCUAAAUGUUAUUUGAUUGAAUGGGGUAAAAUUGUAAUUUCAUUAUUGAAAAUUACAAUGAAAUGAGUGUGGUGCUAUAGUACAUGAACUAUUCCCACUCCCUUUCCCUUUUAAUUUCAUCUUUUUAUAUUAUUGAUAUCUUUAAUAAUUUAAAGACAGUAGCUUAUUUUAAAACACAAUUGUUAAACCUUUCAUUAGACUUGACCACACUUAGUUAUGGUCAUUACAAAAAAAAAAUAUAUAUAUGAAAAGAGCUCAUUCUUUCAUUGUGCACACAUUCACAAUUUAUUGUGGAUUUACAUAGUAAAUUUAUCAUUUUACCCCUUUUAUACAAAACAUUUAGCUUUGCUAAGAGGAUAAUUUGAUCUUUUUAUAACGGUUCAAAUAUCAUUGUCAAAUUCAUAAAAGGUAUUUGGUCACUUCAUAUUUUUAUUGCACAGUAACAUUGCUAAAUUGCUCUUAAGAAAUAUUUUCAUUUAAUUACUUUAAAGGGCAUUUUAGGUUAUUAACUUAUAGGUUGCUUCUGGUUUAGUAAUUAACUAGGCUCAUGAGUUUGAAAAAUUAAUAUAGAUUAACAUUAUUUUUUUGACAAUUACAUCUUUCAAAGGUGGUUAUUUUGAAAAAUAAAUUUCGUUAUUUUAUUUAAUUUUCUUUCAAUCAGGUUAGCCUCAUUCCAUGAUCUAGGCAGCAGGUUUGACUGGGUGGUCUAGGUAUUUUUUGAGGUCGCUUUUUUUUAUCUUAUUUGGUUUUGUACUUCAAAACUCCAUUCUUUUGAAAACUAAGCUUCACUUUUUUUCUUGUUUUGCCUUUUAUUAGGCUUUCUCGUUUGCAUGAUAAUCAUAUUUUUUUUGUUAUGAUGUGAAGUUGUGGAUUUUUUCCACUUCUUUAUUAAAAUAAUAAAAGAAUUUCCAAAUGUAUUUAUUUUUAAUUUGUGGCUAGAUUUUGAUUGGAUUAACUAUGUUGACUAAAUCAACAAUUUGGAUGGACCAAUUAGAAACCCUAAAUAAUAAUGACUUUCGGAAUAUUGGGAUUUAGCAUCAAUUAGGUGGCCAUCUAGGUUUUGUAACUAUGCUUAAAAAUCUUUCUUUCAUUCUUUAAAUGUUAAACUCCUCAAACAUUUCCUAAUAUUAAAGUCAUUUGUGUACUUUUAAUUUUAGGUUUUACCUCCCUGUAUUUUAAUAUAUUUGAAAUCAAAUAUUUUAUAUUUUUUAAGGUUACCUUUAUGUUUUGCAUAUAAAAUUAAUGAAAUAACUUUAAUGCCUUCAUCUUCAAUGACUUUUAAGCUAACACUUCAAUUUUUUUAUGGAAUUAAUUUUAAAUUUUAGAAAUAAUAUCUAAUAUCAUAAUUUUAAUUCCCCAUCUAUAAAUUUUUAUUUUAUUUAUUAUUUUAAAUAAAGAAGAGAUUUUAAGGCUACUAGUGUUUUUUUAGACAAAAAAAGAAAGGGUAUUUAGACUAUUACUUUUUUUUUUAAGAAUAACUAAAUAAAAAAACGAACCUGCUUUUUUUAUAACCUUGAUGUUCUUAUUAAGAAUUAUAAAAAAUUUAGAUUGAAAACUCAAUUUAGAGAUCUUGAACGCUUGGCAGAUUCAAUUAAAACAAUAAUUCUAUAGUGUGCCUUUAGGGAAGUCAAAAAUAAUUGUGUUCGCAUACAGUGUUUUCAAAAAGUUCUGUGAUUUUUCUAAAGUGGAUAUGAAAUAGCGCAAUCCUUUAGCCACUCAUGCACUGUAAAAGGAUUGUUUGAAAUUAUGAUAGUGAUUUUAUUCAAAAAUAUAUUAAAAUGAUGUUUUUUUAUUUUUUUAAAAUUAUUUUUAAGAUUAGCACAUUAAAACGAUCCAAAAAUAUAAAAAAAUUAUUUUUUUUAAAAACGAGGGUUGGAUCGUAUUUCCAAACAAUCUCUAAGUAUCAAUCCGAAGACGCACAUGUGCAAGCGUGGGAGAUAGAUUUAAGGCAGGUUUGGAAUCGUGAUAGCGGUUACGGUUUAAAGUGUUUUUUCUUAAAAAUAUAUUAAAAUAAUUUUUUUUAAAAAUUAUUUUUGAUAUUAACACUUUAAAAAGUUUUUAAAACAUAAAAAAAUUUAUUUAUAACAAAAAAAAAUUAAAAAAAACACAAUUUAUUUUACACCACAUUUCCAAAAACACUUUUACAAAUUAUGUGAUCCUCGUUCUGAAGGGCAGGAGUCGAGAGGCAAAUGGGCACCCACCCACCCACCCACCGACCCUCACACAGACUAAUGUACGGUUGAAAAGGCAAGCAAUUCCACAAAAAUUGAUCUUGUAAUUAUUGACGUUGCCUACCAUACUGACUUCUGAAAUAAAAAAAGAUGGAUAGACAAAGUUGCUAUAAUUAAUGGCUGCAUAAAGGAGACAGUCUCUCCAAUCAGUUUUGUCCCACUAAAGUUUCUGCAAUUUAUAUGUGAUGCACUCAUCGGCCACCUCAUUGGGAGCCAAAAAAGAAUCCCCAGACAUCAAUUAUAGGUGUCGAUACCUUCCUUUCUCUUUAUUCCAUACAAUUUGUUUUUGUUUGAAAGAGAAGCGCAGACUACAGUGUAACUCAUGCAAAUUUCAAGAAGGAAUUAUAUACAUUGAUAAUGUGUUGUAAGUAACCAAUAUAUAUAUAUAUAUAUAUAUAUAUAUAUAUAUAUAUAUAUGAAUUGAUUAACUUUAUAAAUUAAAAUUUUACAUGUGAAAUCCAUAACCCGGAUUAUAAUACUGUGAUAAUUUCAUAAAAAAUAAAUAAAAAACAUUACAAAGCUAAAUUUUCAAUUGUCUAAAGGAUGAAAUUAAAAAUAAAAAUCAAUAAUAAGAUAAAUUUUUUCUUGUAAUUCUCUUUAAUUUUAAAAAAUAUGAUAACAAAAAUUAAAUAAUAAUAAGAUUUAAAAACCCCGUGUUACCCCUCUCAUUUUUGUGACUUUUGCUAAUCCAGAAUCAAAAUUUUCCUCAAGCUCUUUCGUGAAUUGAAUCAAUCAUUACCACGAUUGUAUCACCAAAACCAUUGUUGAAAGCCAAAUUAGCUUUUCUGCUACUGGUUCAAGAAACAAAACAAGAAAGAGAGAUUAAUUAAAAAAUAUAUCUCGACUACUUUCUCUUUAUCCAUUUAGUUAGAUCAGUUAUCAUUUCUAAUUACACCUAAUCAACACAAACAAUCUCAUUCUGACUUUGCUGCCUUUCGACCCUCUCCCUCGAGCUCACUAAAUAUGACAUCUCCUCACAUGAUACACUCUUGUUCAUUGGUGUUUGUGGAGGUUUCAGUUAUUUUGUUGGUAGUGGCCGAUGGUAAUAAUGAACUCAUGUUUGUUUAUGAUGGCUGUGAGUGACAGUGGUGGUGGUGGUCGGUAGUGUUUUAUUGGCCUUCUGUGUUUUAAGGGGGUGAAAGAGAAAGGACAUAUAUGGUGGUUGGCAGUGGGGAUGGAGAGGCAUGAGCUUCGGGAUGAGUACAAAACUACAUCAUCCGCUGGAGUUGUGUUGCAAGUCGCUCAAAUUUUUAAAUGUAAAUUCAAAAUAGGAUACAUAUUAGAUAUUUUUUUAAAAUAUUGAAAUGAUAAAUCAACACAAGUUAACUGAUCAAAUUUGUGAUCUAGAUUAUGAGAGUGUGAUAACUUUAUAAAAAGAAAAUCAAACUAAAUUACGAAAAUUAAUUCUUAAUCAACUCAAUAUCAAAGAAAUUUUUUUUGAAAAACAAAUAAUUAAAAAAAGACAAAAACAAUAUAUGAGUUCGAAACAUGUGAUCAAAUAACUUCAUAGAAAGCAAAAAAAAUAUAAAAUAUGAAGCUCAAUUAACAAUUAACUUAAUUUUAAAAGAUGAAAUAAAAAAAUCAAUUAAAAAUAACCAAAAAAAUAACCCAAGUAAGGCUGAACUAACAUGUUAAACUUGGAAUAUAAGUCAUGAGACAUUGAUAAUUUCAUAAAAAAACAAAAUAAAAAAUAAUAAAAAAUGUAUGAAGCUCCAUUUUUAACAUAUCAAUGUUGAAGGUUGAAAUCGAGAAAAAAAACUAAAUCUAUGAAACCAAGAUAACACUAUAGAAAACAAAUUAAAAAACAAUUAUGAAGCUUAAUUUUUAAACAACUUAAUAUUAAAUAAUAAAAUUAAAAAAAAACUAAAUAAAAAGGGGAUGAAAUUGAAAAAAAUAUUUAAUUAAAAAAACAAAAAAAUAUGAACUUGGUUAACCUAGGUCAACCUGCCAAACUCGUGACCCAAGUCAACCUACAAAACUUGCAACCCAAGUCAUUAGAUCAGGAUAAAAAAACCAAAACUUACGAAACCUAAUUAAAAAAUAUUCAAUUACAAAGGAUCCUGAAAAAAUGAAUCCGAGACAACCUACCAAACCCAAAACCUAAGUCAUGAGAUUAGGAUAAUCCUAUAAAACAAAAAUACAAAGCUUAAUUUUCAAGCAAACCAAUGUUAAAGGAUGAAAUAAAUAAAAAAUCAAUUAGAAAAAGUAGCCCAAAGAAAAUAACCCGAGUCAACCGGAUUAACUUAUUAAACUCGUGAUGAGGUCAUGAGAUUGAGAUAAAUUCAUAGAAAGCAAAUGAAAAAAGUUACAAAGCCCCACUCCUAAAAGAUCUAAUAUUGAAGAUUUAAACUGAGAAAAAAAACUAAAUCUAUGACAUCAAUAUAUAAACCAACAUAAAGAAAAUACAAAAAAAUAUUAUGAAGCACAAUUCUCAAAAUAACAUAAUAAUAAAGGAUGGGAUUGAUAAAAAAACUAAUAAAUAAAAAGAAAAAUUAUAUUGUUGAAGGGUGAAACAAAAAAGAAGAAGAAAAAAAAAAGCACAAAACAUUAUUAUAGUGAAUAAUGUUUUAUGAGUAUGAUUACAACGAUUUCGCCACACUUUUUAAUGUUUUGUUAAAAGGUGGCUCGUGCCAUGUUGUGCGCUAAACCAAGUUUGUUUUUAAUACAAAAAACAAAUAUGCUAAAACAUUGCUGGCAUGUUUUUAAAAGUAAGAAAAAAAUCCCCGAUUCGAGACAUAGAUACGACUAGGUUAAGAAAAACAAGCUUUAUUUAUUUAUAUUAUAAAAAAUAGGCAAUCACAAUAAAUCAUAAAAUAUAUUAUUGAUAAUGAUGACAUGUAAUAAAAGAAUGGUUGAUAAUCAAAAGUUCUUUAAUCUUACCUGUUAACAAUGCAAGAACUAAAUGGAGUUUAAUAAAAUAAUAUCUAAAAUAUAUUUUCCCAAAUCGGCCAAAUUUUGAAGGACUAAACUAAAGAAAAGAUUAAUUAAAAAAACAAAAAAACAAAGACUCAAGAUAACACGGGUUAACUUUCUAUCCACAUAACUCAGGUCAUGUGACUUAUAGGAUAAACCAAAAGAAAGGAAAUAAAAAAAUUAUGAAACUAAAUUUACAACCAACUCAAUAUUAAAAGAUGAAAUAAAAUAAUAUCAAUUUAAAAAAGAAAAAAAAAUCGAUGUCAAUCCAUAUCAAUCUUCCAAACUCGUGAUCCAGUUCAUAAGAUCAGGAUUACCCAUAGAAGGCAAGUAAAACAAAUUUGCAUAGCCUAAUUUUCAACCAACCAAAUAUUAAAGGACAAAAUUAAAAAAAAAAAAAUCAAUUGAAAAAAGGACCUAAAAAAAAUAAAUAACAAAAAAAAGAACAAUGAUCAAAUUUGAUAUAAAACACAAAAUAAUUGUCCACCUUGCUAUUUUAGAUGAGUGAGUGUAAAAAUUGAGAAAAGAAAAAAAAAGAGGGGAAGAAAAAAAAAACCAAAGUCGACUCGUAGAUCAAUCACUGUCCCAUAAGGAAGACCUUGUCAAAGCGUUUGGAGCUCCACUAUGAAAGAUUGGAUUUGGUGGUGGAUGAAGUUGCAUGCAUUGCCUAAGCGCAACUACUUCACUCACAUGCCAGCGCGGGCAUUGCAUGUGCCAACAAAGUCUUACAUGCUCGCUCACUUUAGUACCUUAAUCCUGAAUUGUUCUGGAUCAAUAGAUUUUCAUUUUUUUUUGGUUAAAUCAAGAAUUAAACAAGUGCCAGAAUUUGUCCUCGAUGUUCCGAGAUCAUUAUAUAUAGGUAACCAAAAUAAACCAUUAAGUCUAAUCUUAAAUAAAGACAACGUGCAAAGGUCAAAUUAAACAAAAAAAAGUUGAGUGACAAAAAAGAAAGUUGAAAUUUUCUUUGCCUGUACAAAUUAGUCCAUGAUAGUAGAAAAAAUGAUGGCUUAAUAUUGUUUUUUAAAGAUUCAGAUUGGGUCCCAAACCUCAAAUUGUUUUAAACCAAUGAAAUUGAGUUUUAUACUGUUAAAUCUAGCAUUAACCUAGAGACAAAAUAUCUUCUCGAUACCUGCGAGAUUCUCCUAUUUAGACAUAGGAAACAAAUUACCUAGAUCAGUUACAAACCAACACAAUAUGAAAGGAUCAAAUUGAAAGACCAAUUUUUUUUUAAUAAAAAGAAACCACUAUGGAUUAUUAUUGUAAUCCAUUUUAAUUACUAAGAGGGGCUUCAGUAAUUUCACAAGCAAUCUUCUUUUUUUGAAAAAAAAUUAUAUAAGGUUAUAUUUGUCUUUUUAUAAUUAUUUAAUUUUUUAUAAUAAAAAUAAUAAAAAAAUAAUUUUUAAAUUUCUAACCUUUUUUUGGCAAUAAUCCACAUUUCACAUGAUCAACAUGAAAAAAUUACCCCUUCAACAAUAUUAUUAAUGUAGCAUUUGAUUACUAUUUUGAAAAAAAAAAAGACAAUGCAAGCAUAAAUAUUUUUGGAUGAAGAGAAAUAAAUGGAAAUAUAAAAAUAAAUAUAUUUCUUGAAAAAAUUUGAAGUGAUUUUUUAUACUUUCAAAACAAGAGGUUAAAAAAAAAAAUAUGGCUCAUGAGAUAAUAUUUAUUAUUGUUUAUUUAUAAAAUAUCCAUGUAAAAAACUUUUAAUUUCAAAAUUGUCCAAAUAAGUCGUGUACGGAUAAAAGUUAUUAUUAUCAUAGUUUUAAAACCUGACUUGAGUUUAACCCAAGACAACGCCUAGGUCACAUGUUAUGGGAGGGUCAACCCAAUUUAAUCCCAAUUUGUUUUUUUAAAAAAAUGUUGUUUUGACCUUUUUUUUUUAAAAAAAUAUUAAUGGGUUUUUGACUUGUGUUUUAUCCUGGAUCGACCGAGUCGCGAGUCGGCCUAGAAUUUUGACUGAUUCAAUCAUUCCUCUAUUUUAUUUAAAAGUGGACUGGUCUAGUCCCUAGGUCAAGCCAGUUUGGGUUUUAUAACUUGAACGAUUAUACUAUUAUUAAUUUAAACACUCAAUAUAAACUAUAGUAAAAAAAUAAAAAAUAAAAUCUAAUUAUUUUUUAAAUAUGUAAAUUUGAUAAUAGUAUAUAUUAAGGAUAAGAUAAUUUUUUUUAUAAUUUAUUCUAUAUUUUUCAUCAUCAACCAAAUAAAAGACAAAAACAAUCACUUUAUCUUAUACGUACACUAUUAUAAAAUAUUAUUUUAUCUAUAUCUUCUAUUUUAUUUUGUCUUUCUAUCUUUACUAUCGUUGUUUCCUUUUAAUCUACAACAAUAUCAAAACACUAUCUAAGAUUUGAUAAUUUUGAAUAUAAAAAUAACGAAACUUAGGUUUGUAACAAUAGACUAAAGAUCCUUUGAUGCACUGUAUAACACAAGAUGGGAUAUCAUAAUGUAAAACUGUUUAAUGUACACAUGAAAUAGGAUAAGAGAUGGUUCUUGUCUUGUAUCAUUUCUAAAUUUCUAUCUCACCAUGCAUCCUCCUAGAACAAGCUUGUAUUUUUACAUACUCAUUGUUUUUUUUAAUGUGAAACUAUCUUUCAAUCUUUUAAACUUUGGGCUUUUUCUCAUAUUCUUAUUAUGAAAAUAAAAAAAAAUAUUCAUUUUAAAAAAUAAAUAAAUUAAAUUUUUAUUUAAUAAAAAAUAAUAAUUUAAUUAUUUGGAAAAUAACUUAAAAUAAAAAAUUAAUAAUAAAAUAGAGGAAAUAAAAUAAUAAUUUUAUUUAUAAAAGUAACAACAUAUCCAUAAAUAAAAAAAAUUAAAAAAAAUCGAUUAGUGAUUAAAUAUAUUUAAAAAUACGUAAUUAUUUUAAAUUAAAGAAAUUAGUUAUUUUUAAUAAGGAAUUUCUAAGAGCAUAAUAAAAAAAUAUUUUAUUUAUGAAACAAAUAGGAACUAAAUAAAAUAAUAUAAAGUGUUUUAUUUUUAAUAUAAACUAAUUCUAUGACUUGAACACAAUUAAAAAAGACUUAAAUUAUUAUUUUUAUAUUUAUACACAUGAUAAAAAUAUAAGGGUAUCAUCGUUCUUGUAGUUUUUUUUUUUUUUUUGUCAUGUCCUAUACUCGUUAAAUGCAAAAUGGAAUAAUAUUAAUUGUCUAGUCCACUUCAAUGUGCAUCAAACAGGAGAUAAGACAACGUUUUGUUUUCUUGUCUUUUUCAUUCCAAUCCAAUUAAGUCUCGUCCCACCUCAAUUAAAUGAUAUUGAAUAAGAUAGGAUAAGUAAUUUUUACAAAUUAAACAUGUCAUAUUUUAUAGGCUUAAGACAAGAUACGAUAAAUAUUUAAAAACAAUAGUAAUAACCGUUAAUUAACAUCUCAUGUUUAUUCAUUUUUCAACAAUAAAUAGGCAAAUGGUAAUUUAUGUUUUUUGGUUCAAUGGCUAUUCUCAAAGAGCAAGAUUUUUAUGAAAAAAAUAUAUAUAUGAAAAAAAGAGCUCAUUUUAUUUCUUUUAUUAAAUUGUUAAACAAUAUAAAAAUAGUUUAUUUUAUUCUAUUUUGUGUAAUGUAGCUUUAAUUGUUAACGAAACAAAGCGGAGAUAAAAAUCAUACCCAAGAGUCCAGAAACCCAAAUUGAAGCUCCAAAUUACAAGAUCCAAAACGAUUAAAAACAUGGGCUCCACUUAUUGGGCCUGUAAUUUCUGAACCCCAACUUCAUAUUACAACUGGAUCGCUGGUUGAAGAUGGGCAAGCCCACAGGAGCAAAGACCAAAUAUCUAAGCUGACACCCAAAUUCCCUCGCUAGUAAAAAUUGCCCAGCAUCGGGAGCUCACUACUAUCUAGGAACGAUAUCAUUCAAACGAAGGUGGAUGCUGCUACUGCACUAGUUAUAUGAAUGUGAUUUGUUUCCACAAUGCUUCCUUCUCCCCUGGUUAUUUCUAGCACCGCCUUCAUUUUCUGGACAUAGGCACUUCUGUAGCUUCGUUGACAUGAACUGCACUUGAGUUCCAUCCUACAGUAAAUUUAAACGACAAUACAGUAAAACAACAACAACUAUUGGAAAUCUUCAAUGCCUUGUGUAAUGAACUGUUAAUAUUUAUACAAGAAAUUUAAAAAAGUUUCCUUGUAUGUGUAUUUGGUGGGAGCUCAUAUGACUUGCGAGUGAUCAUCCUAUAAGUGGGUUUCUCUAUUAGAGUAUUUGAACCUUCGUUCUCUUAUUCAUUAAUAUUCAAUAUUCUUAAGUUCUGCAACAUUUAUAGAGAGAUUAUAGGCUUAAACUAUCAUAAUUCAAUAAAGAUUCUAACUACUAGUUCAAUGAUGAUUCUAAUUAAAAGAUUCAUGAUAUAAAUGUAUAUAUAUAUUAACUUUUCCGUUAAUGUAUUUUGAUCCAAUUUUAGGUAGUAAUUUAGAAAAUAUAGUUAGAUGUCUAUUUCAAAUCUUCAAGUACCCACAAUGUGUGGUUUCCUUUGAUAGUCGAGGGCUUGGUUGCUUGUAGUUGUUGCUGCCCAACCUUUGUGAUCUUUUUCAACUCAUUCACUUGAAUCCAGUUGUUUGCAUUGAUGAGUUGGGAAAAGUCUAAUAUACGUUCAACUCUAACAAUUACUAAACAUUAGUGAUCUUUUUCUUUUCCCCUGAAACAUGCUCUCUCCUGAAACUAUGGAACCAACGACAGAAGAAACUGAUCUGCUGUCACGAUCAAGCAAGAAGGUCAAAGUGGGAGACAACAACAAUCACGCGGAUGGCGACACAAGACAGGGCCUUUCUCGGGAGGGAAAAGGGGGCAUAAGUUAUAGAGACUCUCUGAUGGGAUCUCCUUAUUUGUGCCAUAACACUAGUGGCGAAAGCCUUCUAGUGGAUUGUAUUUCUGAGGAUGAGGAUGAGGAUGAGGAUGAGGAUGAUGAUUGUGAUGAAGAGGACUGCCCAGUGAUCAGACUUUCAGUGGAGGAAAAGAAACGUAUCAGAGCACCAUGGAGACAGACCCUAAUAAUUAAAAUUAUGGGACGAAAGGUGGGAUACAUGUAUCUGCACAAACGACUCAAGACACCAUGGAAGUUACAAGGGGACCCAAGUCUGGUAGAUUUGGGUAAUGAGUUCUUUCUGUCGAAAUUUUCUAAUAAUGAGGACAAAGAACAUGUGUUGUUUGAAGGACCAUGGAUGGAUGCGGAUCACUACCUGACCAUCAGAACUUGGCACCCAAAUUUUGAUCCAUAUGUAGCUACGAUUGACAAGGUAGCGUGGGGGUUAGAUUACCGGACUUAGCAAUGGAAUAUUAUGAUAAUUCUGUUCUGUGGAACAUAGGGAACAAAUUUGGAAAAACAUUUAAGGUGGAUAGGAACACGUGUUUGGCAUGAGAGGCAACUUUGCCAGAAUAUGUGAGGAGGUUGAUCUCACGAAGCCACUCUUAGCUAAAUUUAAAGUACGGAGGAGGAUAAGACGUAUCAUGUACGGAGGUUUGCCCCCAAGCAAAACCCUUAGAAUUUGAACAAGGAGGAGAUGGCCAUUCGGGGAUGAGGAAUAAUAGCGAGCCAGAAGCCAUGGACAACCCCGCCAUGCCUGCAAAUCCGGUGGUGAGACCGGAGGUAUUAGAGACAUAUGGCAUGUGGAUGAUUGCGGAACGAAGGGGGAGACGUCAGAACGGGAAAGCGGUAGUCACGGCGGAUAAUAGGAAGCACAUCAAUGGUCGUAAUCCCGAGAUUGCAGGGGCUGUUACAAAACCUAGUAUAACGGCUAAUGGGCAGAUUAAUUCGUCACGUUAUAAUGUGUUAAGUGACAUUGAUUUUGUCAGCGAGAAAACUGGGGCUGACAACGUUAGUAUUGAAGGGCUUCAACCACGUGUGAGAGAUUUUAAAAAAGGUAAGGAGGUUUAUGGGAGGGUGGAUGUGCAAGGUAACCAUGGACAUCAAGGAGGCCCACGAAAUGGGAAGGCCUUGGUGGAGGCCAGAGUUAAUGGGCGAAAGAUCUUAUGUGUAAUAACAGGGCUUUGCAAGAGAAGGAUAGGAAUGGGCCCACGACUCCCAUAGUUACUAAAGCUGAAAAAGAUGCUGCAAAAUUCUAAGAGAAGACAGCUCUGGUUUUGGGCAACAGCCAGCAAAAACAAGACAAUUGUACUGGGAUGAAUGCAACAGAGGCCAGUAGCUCGUUCGCUGUCCCAAUUGCUGCUGAUCAUCCUAUUCAUAAUAGCUUGCGGGACGGACCUCAGGAACCAGAACGACCUGUUGCUGUCGUUUGGAUGGAGGAGGAGACUUGCAGUGUAGGGCUAGAUGACGGGCUAGUUGGGGAAAAUUUUAUUGAUGAAGUCAGAAUGGCUUAUGUAGAGGAAUGCCGGGAGGUAAGAAUUCUCUAAUGAAGAUCGAGCCCGGUGGUCGUCUCUUUCUGAUUAUAAAUAUUUUGAGUUUAUUAUACUUGAACUGCAGAGGAGCAUGAAACAAUAGUUUUUGUGCAGUGGUACAUGAUUUGAGAAGAAACUAUAGCUUUAAUAUUUUAGCUGUCGCGGAGCCGAGAGUGAGUGGUGCAGUGGCUGACAGAAUUGUGGAGAAUUUGGCAUUUGAGUCUAGUUACGGGGCUGAGGCUCAAGGUCUGGGGGCCUCUGGUUGCUUUGGAAUAAAACUAUAUUUGACAUAAAAAUUCUGAAAGCCUCUACGCAUUUGAUUCAUGGCAUGGUAGACGAAGGGAAGGAUUCAGCUUGGAUUUUUACUGUGGUGUAUGCUAUGGAUGGUGGUGGGUGACUUCAAUCAAUGAAAUUUUGGUAGCGUCGGAGAAAGAAGGUGGAGUAACUGUUGAUGUGAGGAGGUGCAUUCGGUUUGGUAGGUGGGUGCAGAAUUGUGGCUUGAUUGAUUUGGGGAGUAACGGUCCGAAGUUUACUUGGAGAGGGGCUGAAAGAAGGGAUUAUGUGAGUAUGUGAAAGAUUGGAUAGAUGUUUUGGUAAUUCGCAAUGGAGACUGAAGUUCCAGGGUGCAAGUGUUAUGGUGCUUCCAAGGGUUAGAUCAGAUCACUACCCUGUUCUGGUGGUAUUGCAGGAGCAAGACAGGACUUUACAAGGUAUGAAUAGACCUUUUUGUUUUGAGGCUGCAUGGUUUGGGCAUGAUAAUUUCACAUCUUUCAUCCAGGAGAAUUGGAAACAUGGAGCGGAUUUACCUCACGCGUUGGAAGUGAUGACAGCCCAGUUGAAAAGAUGGAAUAAAGAUGUGUUUGGCAACAUUUUUAUGAGGAAGGAAAGGGUUCUGGCGGGAUUAGGGGGAGUCCAGCAAGCUCUAGCAGUUAAAGGAAACAGCUAUCUGAACCGUUUAGAGAAUCAACUGCUUACGGAGUAUCAUCAGAUACUUAGACAAGAGGAGGUUCAUUGGUACCAGAAAUCAAGGUGCCAAUGGAUCACCUUUGGGGAUAGGAAUACUUCCUAUUUCCACAUAAAAACUAUAAUUAGGAGACAAAUAAAAAAAAAAUUGGAACAUUGAAGAAUGCUAAUAAUCAGUGGGUGUGUGAUGAGGAUUCUCUGAGAGAGAUGGUAAGAGAGUUUUAUCAGACGUUGUUCACGAAGGAAGAUGGGGUAGAGCAGAGAAGAAGGCUUCAGGGUAAUUUUCCUAUUAUUGAGCAUGGUCAACUAGAUCUGUUAGCAGGACCCGUAAAAGAUGAUGAAAUUCAGAUAGCUUUAUUUGGCAUGAAGCCAUACAAAGCCCCUGGUCCAGACGGGUAUCAGCCGUUCUUCUUUCAGUCACAAUGGCAAGUGAUAGGACCGACGGUAUGUCGCUACAUCAGAGGUAUUUUUGAAGGUGAUUCGAAGUUAGCAGAUAUCAGCCACUCUCACCAGGUAUGAUUCCAAAAGUUCAGGCUCCAGAGUAUUUGCAUCAGUUUCGACCUAUUGGGCUCUGUAACGUAACCUUCAAAUUGUGACAAAGGUUUUGGUGAACCGACUCAAACAUCUAAUGCUGAAGUUGAUCAGUGAGUUUCAGAGUAGCUUUGUGCCGGGAAGGCAUUUUACGGACAACAUAACCGUAGCACAGGAGGUUAAACAUUCUUUGCGGAAGAUGAAGGGAAGGCGAGGGAUUAUAGCUAUCAAGGUGGAUCUCGAAAAGGCAUAUGAUCGAUUGCGUUGGGAUUUUAUUGGAGAAACACUCACAGAAGCAAGGCUGCCGAAUGAUGUGGUGGAGCUCAUUAUGAAGUGCAUAGAAUCUGCUUCUCUAAGUGUGAUGUGGAAUGGAAGGCCAGCCCCGAAGUUUCGACCUAGACGAGGCGUAAGACAGGGAGACCCAUUAUCCCCCUACAUUUUUGUCUUGUGCCUUGAAAAAUUGUCGCAAAUAAUUAACAGGGAGGUGGAUAAUGGAUCCUGGAGACCGUUCAGAGUGAACAGACGGAUGAGUGGGUUUAAGACCACAGAUGACUUGGGCAAAUAUCUAGGUAUUCCUUUGCUUCAUCAGCGGGUUACUAAAUAAACUUACAGCUAUCUUAUUGAUAAUUUACAGAAGAAGUUAGCUGGCUGGAAGCCUAAUAACUUAUCCCUAGCUGGGAAAAUUACACUUUGCAAAUCGGUACUGUCCACAGUACCUCUUUAUCUGAUGCAGUCGGCCAUGCUCGCUAAAAGCAUUUGCUACGAAAUACAAAAAAUCUGUAGGAGAUUUAUUUGGGGUCAGAAGGAUCGAAGAGAUAAAAUUCAUCUAGUCAAGUGGGAGACUAUGUGCCGCCUAAAGUUGAUGGUGGUCUGGGAUUAAGAAGAAUGGAAACUAUGAAUAAGGCUUUUAUUAUGAAGUUGGCUUGGGGUAUCAUACAGGACAGUAGAAGUUUGUGGGUGAGAGUAUUAAAAGCAAAGUAUAUGAAGCAUCUUGAUCAGGUGGAUCAGGUUCACGCUAAGGGGAAGGAUUCAAGUUUGUGGAAGGAAAUAUGCAAAGUGUGGCCUCAGGUAACGCAAGGCUUGAACUGGGCUAGGGGAAGUGGAAGAAAUGUUCGGUUUUGGAGGGACUCUUGGUUGGAGGGCUAUGGCCCCUUACUCUCUCUUGCAACUCAGGAUAUUCCUGAGGAUUUAGUUAAUUGUUCUGUUGUGGAUAUGUUGGAGGAUGACAAACACUGGAAGUGGGAUAGUUUUGCUUAUUUACUUCAUGUUCAGGUAGUGAUGCUGCUGGCUGGAUAUCCCCCUCCCUCUCAAAACAUGGAGCAGUUGCUCACAAGGCUGUUUUGACGAAUGAAGUGAGAUGGAGGCGAAAGAUUGCAGUGUUUACCGGUUUGGAGUUAGCCUGGUCAAAGGGAUAUCAGAAAUUAAUUGUGGAAUCGGACUCUGCUAUUGUUAUGGAUCUUAUCACUAAAGAUAAAAUAAAUAUUGACAGGAAUUACUGUCUUAUCACGAAAGCUAGGAACUUGUUAGCAAAGGAGUAGGAGGUUCAGACGACUCAUGUUUACAGGGAAGCAAAUUCUGUAGCAGAUUGAUUAGCAAAUUGUGGUUUAACAAAAAACCUGUUUGACAGGAAUUUUUGUAUUCCUGAUAAUCCAUCUGCGGGUGUUUUUACCACUUUGUAUUAUGAUUUUAUUGGGUCAACUGGUACUCGUUUAAUUUAGUUGGGCGCUCCUCUCUGAAUUUCAAAAAAAAAAAAAAAUUUCCUUCUAUGAAACCAAACAAGAUAACAGUGAUACAGUUAAGUAAUUUUUUUUUUAUUAACCUUGGUUAUUAAUUAACAGAAAAACGAGUACGCUUGGCUUUGCAAGCCUAGAAGGAGCCCUAAAGCCAGUUACUACUACUAAAUUAAUAGCCAGGGUGAGAAUCUAGAGCUUUAUAUAGUUGUUCUCAAUCAUCCAUUUGAGACUCCAGUGGUCACCUGCACACUUAUAAGCCCAAUAUGCCCAUCCAAAUGUGGCACGCCCAUAGACAUCCAGUUGAGCCUUGGCAAAGUUCUGGUAAUCUUGCAUCGAUGCUCCCUGAACUGCCCAAUCUCCAGUCCAUUCCCCUGCAAAAUUUCAUUUAACAAUCAACAUUGUUUUCUGAACUAAUACAGUUAAUGGUAGACCAAACUAAGGAUAUUAAAAAUAAAAAUUUAUCUGUCUUGAUUGCAGAAAAUCUGGUUUUGGACUUGCCUACAAAACUGAGGGGGCCAUUUGUAGUUGUCACUGUUGUUAGAGCACUAGCUCGCUGAUUAUAGAUAUAGUCAAUGUUCUGUUGGGGAUUCAUGUUAUUGAAUGAAUCUGAAAAUAGGUUGUAAUAAUGCACAUCAAUGACUACACGUUUGAGACCGCUUGCAAAUGAGAGGAGCUCUUUGGAAUCAGCAGGCCCUAGUCGAUUUGAGAGGAUCACAUAAGCAUUUUCAGAGUGCUUCCUUACGGCAUCAUAUCCAGCUUGAUAAUACUUUAUUAGGGUGUCUAGAUUGACUCCCGGGGCCAUCGGUUCAUUCAUCAAUUCAAUUGCGGCAAGACUUGGUUUGUCGGCAUACCUGCUUAGUUGCACUCUGUAUUAGAACUCAGGGAAACUUCCAUAACCGUGCUUUUGAUUUCGGUGAAUCUAUCUUACGGGAAAAAAAGAAGAAGAAAAUCUUAUUAGAUGUGUUAAACCUUUCUGCAAGGAAGUCUAUGACAGCCACCGUUUCCUGAAUGUUUGAUUCUCCCCAUUCCUGAUACCCAUCUCGUGUCGCGCUAUGAUCAUUGCCAUUUUGUGAAGCUUGAACUGCAUGCAAAUCAACGAUGACCUUCAUGCCGUAUUUCCUGCAUAAAAAUAUAUAAAUAACGAUCAUAGUUAUAUUUAGCACCUGUUCAGAAAAAAAGUAGCCAAAAACAAUAUUAAACCGUUAAGCGUUAAUUGAUUUCAAUUAUUAAAUGGCUCUCACUGUGCCCAUGUGAAAGCAUUGUCUAAGGCUUUCAAAGAGCCACCGACAAAAGGUUUCGGUGGUGUGGGAUCACUGGCGAUCCACCAUCCAACUGGAAUUCUGACAGCAUUAAGACUAUUUUCUGACAUGAAGCGGAAGUCCUCUUCAGUGAUGUAAGAGUUCCAAUGAUCCUAGGAUGAACAAAUUUGCAAGUUAUGCAUGAUUUAAUUAUUCCUCUAGUUUAUAAAAUGCUAGAACAGACAUCUCUUCUCUUGUUUAUGUUACGAAUUAAAAGUUUUACCUGCAAGACCUGAGGAGCUCUGUCUGGGCCAUAACCAUUUGUGAGUUGAUAUUCACCUCGGAAGGAAUAUAUAUUGACAAUGGUCAUUUUGAAUACUGAUGGAUCGCUGUCCUCCCAACCUGAGCCGACAUAAUCUGCAGUUACCAAUGUCUCUGAUGAUGCCUGAUUACACAACGAGAGCAAAGUAAUUCUUCAUUUAAUGUGGAUAAUUUACUAAACUGAUCAUGUCUAGCUAUGCCUCAGACCAGCACAAUGAUCCAAAGUGUUAAUCAUAGCCAUGAUCACUAUUCACUAGCAUGUACAUAACUGUUCUAUAACUGAUAAGAACCUAGAUUCACUGGAAAUCGUGCUUGAGUCUACAUACACCCUGUCCAUACUAUUCCAAUGGGAAAAUUUACCAUUACCCUAAACUAAACUAAUCCAGACAAAGUUCCAGAGCCCAAAUUACAAUAGAAGUGAAGUUAACAGUUCUGUUGUUAAAAAAGAAAAUGUUAAGCAAUACCUGAAUGAACUGUCCAUUUGAUGCUUGGAGGCGAACUCGAUUCCGGUCAUCGUUAUUUCUUAUAAUCUGGAAUGUUUGUGAGUUUCCAACAGUAUCUGAAACUGCUGUUACUUUGUCUCCUUGAUCCUCCAGCCCCACAAACUGCUUGUUGAACACUCUAAAGUUGAAAUAUGUCUCAUUGAUCCUCCACAACUGUGUAAUAAAGCAACAGAAAAGUAAUGGUGAGAAACAUGCAACAUGAUAUUGCAAUCAUAGACAAUCACAGAAAAGUAAAUAGUCCUAGCUAGAUAUUUUCAAGGCCAAAGAAAAGGUCAAAUAGUAGACUAAUAAUGAACGAAGUCUAGCUAGAUCAUUAUCUUAAAGAUCUUACUCUGAACGUUUCCCAGCCAGAGGCUGAGGGCCGGUUGGCUACUAGGACGGUCCCGCCUCCAUUUUCAGAGCUAAGAUACUUCUGCAGCUUUGUGGACAAGAACUGCACUUGAGCUCCAUCCUACAGUAAAUUUGAACAGAAAAAUGGUUAAGCAACAAUAAAAGACUCAUAUAUAAGAAAAUUUCAGCUUUAAAAAUAGCAGUAAAUAUUUAAGACCAACACUUUCUGUUAUUGUUCUCCGAUGUACAAGAAAAGCAUCUACAGGUAAAAGAAAAGAAAAGAAAAGAAAAGAAAAGAAGCUACUUUGAUCUUUCAUGUACUAAGAUGUCCAAUGAGGUCUUAAGGGAGUGAGGUUUUUGCUGGAGAGAUUAAAUUUAAUGUUUUGGUGGGUGGUUCACACAUGAGGCAUGGGUGAUAUAUAAGUUGAUCGAUGUUCUUGAAUAACAUAAAGUUAAAAAUAAGAUUACCAGGAGAUCAUUGUUCGGCAUCCCAUCAUAGAGAGAAGGUUUCAUCCACCCUUCAGUAACAAGCCAGUUUCCUAAAUUCACAGCUUUAAAUGGCUGUGCAAGAGAAAGAGGGGAGAACACGAAAAAAAGAGUAGCCAAGAUAAAGAAAUAGUAAGCCAUUAUUCGCUCUCUUUUUAUGAGAAUGAAAGGAUUUAAGGUUGUAAUACAUAGAAGAGAAAUAUGUAUAGAAGUAGACAUGUAGAUAUUUAACGAAGACUUCGGUAUUUGGGUUUGGGACCCUUGACGAAGACUUUGGGGCCCUUGCCGUGUUCUAUUUGUUAUUAACAAAUUAUUAAUUAGAGGAAUCCGCGUAUAUGUGUUUAGUUUAUUAAUAGAUGAUGUUCUGGAACCUAAUAUACACACGAAUGAGGUUUUUUGAGUAUUUGUACAGUAAGUAAUUAUAUAUUUAUAUGAAAUUUUAUUCUUCAAAGCUCGAGAAGCAGGUGAUUAAUAGUAGAAGACUCAACACUUGUAAAAUAAUUUUUUUUAAUGAAGUUUAAAUAUCUUUUGAUGAUAAAGUUUGUGACUUUUAAGUAAAGAAUUAUAAUAAAUGUGAUAAGAAAAGAAUUUGGGGAAGAUAUGAGAAGAAAAAAACAGAGGUUUUGGAGAGUAUUUUUGUUUAUUCAAUGCCCCUCAUUCAAUACAGAAACGUGAACCUAAAUAGGCCACCUCAAUACAACAAUAAAUCAAAAUAACCAGGACUCCAGUAGUGGAGCUGAGGACUAGAAAUGCUUUUAGCAACUCCUAUUCCUCAUUACAUUAUUAAUUGACUAAUUCAAUAAAACACAAAACAAUAGUAACCCGCGUAAGCCUUAUACCCAGCUGUACCCUAACCAUGCACCCAAUCACCCACGUAAAUAGAGAUUUCUUAUCAAAAUGAGAGAAUAAACUUUAAAUUUCAAGAAUAAGAGUGUUUUUUUUCUUAUUUUUGUAUGAUAAAUCUUUUGAGAAUUAAAAUAUAAAUACUUAGAGAAUAAAAAUUAUGAACCCUGUACCUGGAUGAUUAAAGGGGUAUUUAUAGCCUCUUAACCUUGUCAUGUUGUUAGAAUAGAGGGGUUGGAAAGUUAUUUCCUUUUGAUAACAUUAAUGAGGGAUAAAUCUCAUUUACACAAUAUUAAAUGGGGGGCAAAUAUCUCUUACACUAUAUUAAUGAGAGAUAAAUAUCACUGACAUAAUAUUAAUGAUGAUGAAAAAAUGAUAGGCCCUUAUAAGACUUUUAUACAUCUAAGGGUAUAGAGAGAUGAAUAUUUCUGACAUUAACAUUUCAUAUUGAAAGUCACCACCAAACAAAGCCUUAUGGCCUAUCAUAGGGCUUGUAAUGCUCAUCAGACUUAUAUCUACUUGGACUUGGCAUAAUACCAAGCCCUUGGGUGAUGAGUCUAGUAGCUUGCCAGGCCAAUGUUUAUUUGGGUUCAGCACAUAGCUGAACUCAAGGACGUUGGGUUUGACAACUCAUCAGACCCAUAUGUACUUGGGCUCAAGGUGUAGCUGAACCUAAGAAUGUUGAGUUUAACAGCUUUUCAAGUCCAUAUUCAUUUAGGCUCAGCACGUUGUUGAACCUCAGGAUGUUGGGUCGAUAGCUCGCUAGAUCCAUCUAUAUUUGGGAUUAAAAUGUAGUUAAACCAAAUGAUGUUUGGCCUGACAGCUCACCAGAUUCAUAUAUAUUUGGGCUUAGUGCGUAGCUGAACCCAAUGAUAUUAGGUCUAGAAGCUCACCAAACCUAUAUGUACUUGGGCUUAGUGCAUAGCUGAACCUAAGGAUGUUGGACCUAGCAGCUCGCUAGACACAUACUUAGCUCAAUACGUAGCUGAACCCAAGGAUCUUGGGUUUAGUAGCUUGCCAAACUCAUAUGUACUUAGGUUCAACGAGUAGUUGAACUCAAUAAUGUUAGAUUUGGCAGCUCACCAAACCUAUAUGUAUUUGGGCUCAAUGCAUAGCUGAACCUAAUAACAUUGGGUCUGGUAGCUCUCCAAAAGCAUGUUUACCCGCUGAGCCCAAUGACAUUGGGUUUGACAGCUUGCUAGACUCAUAUGUACAUAGACUUAGUGAGUAGCUGAACCCUAAAGAUGUUGGGUUUGGCAGCUCGCCGGUCCCAUAUUUACUUGAGCUCAGUGCAUAAUUGAACCUAAUGAUGUUGGGUUUGGAAGCUUACUAGACUCAUGUUUAAUUGAGUUCAGCACUAAACAUAACCCAAUGAUGUUAAACUCGGAAGCAAGUCAGACCCAUGUCAUCUAGGUUUGACAUUUUACCAAGCCUAAAGAUGUUGGGUUAUCACCUUGCCUUUUACCAUUUUAAAUAUGAACUUAAGCUAAAAUAAAAUUUUAAAAUAUGUUGAUCCAUUAAUAACCCCUCAAGUCUUUGUGUAAUAAAUACAUAAAGAUUUGAAAGGUUUUUAGCUUUAAUGAGAGAAAUUUUACCUUCUCCUUAAGAUUGGUUAUCCUAAGUAAAACUGUUAGGAUUUUUGUUGCCAGGUGGCUUGUCCUUAUUAAAAAAAAGUCUCCUAGGAAAUAAAAUGGUGGUGUGCAUUUAAUGCAAUAAUUGAGUGGGUUUUUGGAGAUCUGUGGUGAUAUAGAAGAUUAUUCAUCCAACGAUAAAGAUGAAAUGUUUUUUCCUUUAUAACCCUAGAUGCUCUCUCUUCCAUUCUUUUCUUUUACUUUCAUUCUUGUAAUUUCUUUGUAAAAAUAAAUUGUUGAAGAAGCAUUGAGUGAGACUAAUCUUUAUGUCAAGAAAAACUAUCAUUUUAGGUAUUACCCACUUUAACCUUCUUUCUUUUUCCUUUUUAUCAGAAAAAUUGAUUCUAAAAGAGUUAGAUUUAACCCUAAAAGUAGGGAUGUUGCUUCCUUUGGUGUUGAGUUUAGCUUUCUACCAUAAACUUAAAGAAAUAGUAGAGGAUAAAGGUCCAUUAAAUUGGGCCUUAAAACUAGAGGGUUGGAACUCUAGUGUCCACUUCUAGAAAAGGGGAAGGUAGUUCUCAAUAUUAAAAAUGUCCUUUCUCUAAUACCUCUAAGCAACCUUGGAAGAGAGAGAGGUUGUAUCAAGCCCCCAAUGAUAGUAUACCUAGCUCCCUAGCCAUAGAUGAGGUGGCUUUUGUAAAUGGUCAGCAACCAUAAAAGUAUAUGGCUAAACUAUUUUCUAAGGUUGAAAGAAUUAGCCAAUCGACCUUGGCCACCACUUGAGGAUACUUUGAAAUCAUUACCCCCAUAUGUAUAUAUGAGUUGGGGUAUACCUUUCCUUUUCAAGGGUUUGUGAGGGAAGUUUUUCAGUAUUAUAGGUUGGUCCCAGGCUAAUUGCAUCCUAAUGGAUGAAUAAUUUUGUUUGCCUUUGAUAAGUUCAUCAGGUUUGUUGGAAUCGAGCCUGUUGUAAAUAUCUUUAGGAAUUGCUACCAUUUGAUUGCUAACAUUGAUGAUGGUAAUCACGUGUGUUGGUUUUUUUACCUUUACCAACAAACCCACUAGAUCCAUGAAGAGGACCUUGUUGCAAUCCUGUGCAUUUCAAGAAGAGAAAGGGGGAGGUGAUUAAUAUUAAGAUAUAAUAAGACGGUCAGCCCCAAAGAUAGGAUGCAAGAAGCCUUGGGUUGUUCCUAUUAUUAGAGAGUAUCUCCCCAUGAGGUGAACAAUAGGCCCUGUUUGAGCUCAAAUGAUUAAAAAACAUGUGUUUCAUUGGCCUCCACCUUAAUCAAGUAUGAUGUUAAUAAAAUAGCCAAACGAAAUUUUAAGACCUUGUUGUAAAGUAUUCACCUUCUUUAUCUCUUGUUUUUGUGCAUCGAAAUAUUCAUUUCUAACUUAAUUUUUGUAUAGGUUUAACAGUUAAAGAAGAAUGAGAAACUUCAUCAAGGUCUUUAACAGAGAGCUUGUUUGCAUUGAGGAGGGGAUCUUCAUCUUCUGACUUUAGUGAAGUGAGGACUAAAGUAGAGAUGGAAAACAAUCCCAUUGACAUAGAUAAACUUUCUGUUCUUGAGAAAACUAUUCUUGAGGAAAUAAUGGUGGGAUCUAUUACUCACGUAGAACUGGAGAUGAGAGCUAGUAGGGGAAGCCAUUCUCCCCUAGCUAGGAGUUAACCAAAGUUGGCCUCUUCUGAAGUGAUUGAGGGUGUUAUUGCAUACUUAAAGAGAAAAAGGGUUUACACCCUUAUGAAAUAUGAUGUUGUAACCUCAAUUGCGGAGACCUCUCCUAUCAUGACACCGUCAAUGCCUCUCACCCUUGAUUUUAGUUGCAGAGAACCCUUCAAUUACUAUGACUUCUAGACUAUCUUGGGUGGGAGGUUUAGCCUUAAGGAUAACGGUCUAUAGGUGGUGAAACACUUAGAGAGGUUUUUGACCAUUCAUUUAAAUAUCCUAAUGAUGUCUGAUGAGAGCUACAACUGUCAUCUAACCUUUAUUAGACAAAUAACCUUCAAUGUAAAACACUCUCUUGUCUAACCUUAUUAUUUUAUUUUAUCAUUAUUGUUUCUAAAAAUCGUUUGUUUUUUUGUGUGUAGAUUUUCAUGAUGUACGCCCAUUCUAAGAAGCAUUAGAUGACUGAGAGCAGCCAAGUGAGGGAGGCCAUUACCAAACAUAAGGUAGACCAGACUGCCCUUUAAAGGCUAAAGGAUGAAAAGGCUUUUGUGGAAGCUGAAUUGAGGGACUUCAAGGUAGUUUAUGCAACACUGAAAGACAACAUGAGAGGCCAGGUCUUUUAGUUGAGCUCCAUUAAAAAGCAGCUUUGUCUAGCUUAUAAAGAAAUGGACUCCUUAAAAUAGAGGAUGAUUAAGAUGAAGGCAUUCUAGGAUGUUAUAAGGGUUGAGCUUCUUGUUGCUAAAAAAGAAGCCUAAAGCUCUCGUGUGAAGUUGAAGGCUUUAAGAAACUAUUUAAGGAGUUCCAAGAGUUUUCUAGAGGGUUUACAACACUGAUUAAGAGAAAUGCAUGUAGACUUUAAUGUUGCCUUCCAUAUAGUCCCUAUGUCCAACUUCGCUGAUGUCUUCCUCACUAGGACUGUAGGUGCCCAGCGUGGAGAAUACUCUACUGAGGAGCCUAACCUGGAUAUUUAAGUUUUAGCUCUCCAAUUCCCCUUAGCUUUGUAAACAACCCUAGUUCUGUGGGGUUUUGCACUUUUUGUAAUGAUGUUAAAAUUUUAUAAAAUUGUUAUUUUAUUCAUUUUUUGUGUAUUUUUUGAAAUAUUUUGUUAGACCUGUUUAGUUUAAGUGGGUUCAACCAAGGUUGUUAAAAUCACGAGUUGACUCGUAAAAUCAUACGAUUUUACGAGUCAGCACAGGUUAAACGUGCGACAUCACUUUGAAAACUCAAAAAUUGUUAAAAUCGGACUAGAAUCGGGUAAAAUCAAUAAAAUCGUGUAAAAUCAUGAUUUUAAAACCGAUUUUAUGAUUUCACUAAAGUAUAUGUACUGCACCAAAUUUUUACCUCCAAAGUCCAGCCCUCCACAUCAGCACCAACUACCUAUACAACAUUUACCCUAGUCUCUUUUCUUUCUCUCAGUCAUUCAACAAUCAACCACCACUAAUAACCCUCUCAUUUUUUUUUCAUUGUCGACUGCAUCCUUUUCCCCAGCCACUGUAAGUUCCAGAUAGUGGCGUCCUCUCCACCAGCAAUUGUAAAUUAUUUUGUAAUUCUGUUUUUUUUUCCAUCAUGCACUUGCUAAGGAUCAUUUUACAUUACUACUUAUUUUUUUUUUGUUUUCUUUUCAAUAUGAAUUUCUUUCAAGUAAUAUGCUUAUCUAUUCAGGUAUUUAUUUAUUUUCUCAAGAUUGAAAAGAGCAGUAGGCAUGAAGUACUUGGUUUUUGGGAUCAAGAAAUGACAGUGAGAAAUGAGUGUCUAGUGCUAUAUACUGGCACUACACAAUAUCUUUUUCAUUUUUUCUCCCAGCAAUCUAACUAUGGUUAGAAUUGGAUUGUUGCUUGCUGAUCUUUCUUUAGACAAUUGUGAAAAAUCUUGUUCCUUGCACACAAUUCAAGCUCUAGACCUCUAGACCAAAGUUACUAUAGUUCUUAUUCUUUGUAGUUUUAUAAGACAGGUGUAGCCACCUUAGUACACUAACAAAUUAUUUAUUUUAAGUUUGUUAAUUGUUAGUUAAUAAAAAACUAUAUACAUGAAUGAAUAAAAUAAUUAUAUUGUAUUUUUAAAUUAUUUAAAUUAUGUAUGAAUUUUUAUUUGAAUAAUGUACUUUAAGGUGCUUGAACUAUGUACAAGUUUUUUAUUUGAACCUUGUAUUUUAAGAUACUUGAAGUAUAUAUGAAAAAAAACUUUCCUUGCAAUUUUACGAUCCAUUUUUACGAUCCGAGUUUAUAUUAUAUUUUUCGUAUCGUGUCAAAAAUGUGUUUUUGACAACCUUGGAUCCAACACUUAUACUUAAGAAACAUUUUAGGAGUAAAUCCUUUAGGUUGUUUGUUUGGUCCAGUGCCCAUACUUGAAAGAAUAUUUAGGAAGAAAUCCUCCAGGAAGUUUGUAUGGGUCCAAUGCGUAUAUUUAGAAAAAAAAUGAAAUUUUGGAAAGAAUUGAACUUUGCCUAAUCUUAGUACGACUCACCCCUUUCCUGAAACCAAGAGGAAAUCUAGGUUACAAGUAUAGCUUUUGUCAGGAGUUCUUUCUCCUUUAAUCUAGCUAUCUAUGAACGUAUCUGAAGGUUGGUGCCAUUGCAAUAGAGAGACCUCAGACUCAUCCCUUAGAGAGGUAUGCAAUUGCACUAGGGAGACCAUGUUGAUCCCUUGAAGAAUUGUGCAUUCGCACUAAAAAGAUCGAGUCAAUCCCUUUCUUAGAGAGUUAUGCUCUUGCACUAGAGAGACCCUUGAUGAAUCCCUUCCAAUAUGAGUUAUAUUAUCGCACUAAGGAGACCAUAUCAAUUCCUUAGAGAAUUAUACAAUUGCACUAAGAAGAUUGAGUUAAUCCAUUUCUUAAAGAGUUGUGAUAUUGUUUUAGGGAGAUCAUUAAUCAAUCUCUUCGAAGGUGAGUUGUGUUAUUGCAAUAGAAAGACCAUGUCAAUCCCUUGAAGAAUUGAGCAAUCACAUUUUAAAGACCAAGUCAAUCCCUUCCUUGGAGAGUUGUGUUAUUGCAUUAGGGAGAUCCUUGAUCAAUUUCUUUCAAGGUAUGUUGUGUUAUCGCAUUAGAGAGACCAUGUCAAUCCUUUGGAGAGUUAUACAAUUACACCAGGAAGACCAAGUUAAUCCUUUUCUUGAAGAGUUGAUGAGAGGCCCUUAGGCAUUACGUGGAGAAAAUAAAAACAUUGUCAUUUUGAAUGUCAUUUAUAUAUUAGAAACUUACACUCCUUUUCUCAUUGACUAUGAUACAUCUUUAAAUAAUCAGAGUGUCAGGUGUGAGGAAGACUCUUCCCUUCCAUGUCUUAUAGAUGGUAAGUGUUUGUUUUUACCACCCUUGUAACUUUGAAUAGACCACCCCACUUUGGGGUCAUCUUGCCCUUACUGUCUCUAUUGCUCGUAACCUCCAACUUUCUUAGCAUAAAAUCUCCAAACUCAAAUCUUCUAUUAUUGACUCUUGCAUUAUGGUACUGGGCAGUUCUAUGCUAAUAAACUUUGGUUUCUUGGUCUCUCAUUUAUGCAUUUAAAUCCCUCUUUAGCAUAUCAUUGCCAACCAAGUCACUUCUCCUUUUGUUUAUAAAAAGAAAAAAAGAAAAAGACAAUUUUAAAGAACCCAAAAUUAGGUUAUGACAUAUGACCCUAUACUUUAAAAUAUUUCUUUAGCCAACUUCAAGCAAGUUUAACCUCCAUAUUUAAUGCAAAUAUAUAAGAAUCAUUCAACUUCCAAAUCCUGUGAAUCUCCAUUUCAUCGAGAAUAGAAAGUUUUAAACCCCCUUAUAAAUCUUGUAGCACGUGGGCGCGACGAUGCAUGAUUGAGCUCGCUGAAAAAUAAAUGUGCCUCCUUGAGAGGUGUGUGUUGUUCGGAAAUGAAAGAGUUUGGGUUUAAUCAUAAAAUUAUGAUUAAGGUCCAAGAGUCGCUACCUAGUAUUAUGAUUACUAGGAACUUAUGGUCUGCGAGAGUCUAGGUAAGGGGCUGGUUAUGCAAGGGAAAGACGUAUCACCUCUAGUGCACCCUAUCUAAAAUAAACUGCAUUGUUGUUUAAUUGCUUUUCUAGAUCAAAUUCCUAUUUGUUGGUCUUAUCUAAGGUCUAAGGCAGAUCUCCCUCCAUGAAAGAGUCUUUACCUUGUCGGGUUUAAUCCUAAUCAUUCUAAAGUUAAAAGUUUAGCAUCGUAUUUAUUUUACACUUUAUAUCUUUAAUACUUAAGAGUGUACUCUAUUAUGUAGUUUUACACCCCACAGAUAUUAAAGUCUAUAUCUAAACCCUAAUAUAUAAAAAAUUAUUGGUAAUGGGUUUUUGAUAUUUUGGCAAAAUCAUAACGAAUAUUAUAAAUUGGUUACGAUAUCCAUUUUUUAUUUUUUAAAACAUGAGAAAGAUGCAAUUUUUUUAAUGAAAAUAUGCUUGGAAAACUUUUUAGGAUUUGGCCCUAUGCAUGAAAACAAAACAUUUAUUUUUGUUUUUUUAUGGGGAAAUUAAUUUAAAACUUUUGAGAUUUUUUUAAAGUUUUCUUAGAAAUAUUUUGGAGAAAACCGAGUAUUUUAAUACCCAAUAUGUAUCUUACAGUGUAAAAAUACAACCCAAUAUUAAACAAAAUUGGUAGAAAAACACACGAGAAAAUCAAAAAUAUUUUGAAAUGUCCUUUGGGAUUUUUUGAGAUUUUUUUUUAAAUAUAUAAUAUUAUAAUAUAGUAUUAUAUUAUUAUAAUUAAAUAUAUUAUAAAAUAUAUGGGUUGGGUCGGCCAAGCUAACUAGGCCGACUUGCAACCCAACAGAUUUGGGCUCCUUUUUUUCAUUUUUCAUUUUUCAUUUGUCAUUUUUUUUUGCUGGGCUGGAAUGGGUCUAGUCCAAGCUUGGGGGUAAUUAUUUCCUCCCCUGUGUCCAGCAUGCAAAAUGAGUUAUCGUUCUACAUUCAGGAAAAUAAAAGGGAAAGGUGGAGGCGAACAAGAGGAAGAAGGAAAGAUGGGUUAGCUGGCGUUAUUUCCCCCUUGUCGCACGUGUGCGGCAUCGCGACGAAAACAUCCACCCUCAAAAUUAUUAUCUUCUAUCGAUCUGGCAAAUGUGUGGGGAAACAAGGAAUUCUUGUCUUUUAUGAGUGGAAAAAUGGAAUGGGAGUCGUCACCUAGUAUUUUGGUCACUAGGAACCCUAACUGGUCUCAGAGAUCGGGUACGAGAACUGGUUGCAUAAAGGGAAGGUAUUAGCACCCCAAAUACGCCCUACCUAAGGUAGGCUGCAUUGUUUUAUUGUCUGAUAAAAUAUAAGGUCUUGUCGUGUUUUAUAGUUGUUGGUCCGUCUUUGGUUUAAGAAAAGUUUUUCUCAGUAAGGAGGUCCUUGUCUUAUCGGGUAAAACCUAACCGUUCUAAUGUCAACAAAACAAUUUAAUAUCUGGAAUACGUCUUACGUGUAAGGUCGUAACCCCAGAUAUUAAAAGAAAAUAAAAUAAUUUUUUUUUGGAAUUUUUGAAAUAUUGGUCAGUUCUCGUGACUUUAAUAAACUGGUUAUUAAAACCAAAAUGCAUGCUAACACCAUUUUUUUUAAGCAAAGAUACAAUAUGUUUUUUUUAUUUUAUUUUAGAGACUUGGCCGUAUGCAUGAAAACAUUGUUUUUUUGCCGUGAUGAAAACCGAGUAUUUUAAUACUAAAUUUGUAUCUUUACAAUAUAAAAAUACAAACCGCUAUUGAUUAAAAUACAGUAUAAAAAAUUUUCAGAAAACUCAUAGAUUUUUUUUGAAAUAAUUCCUUUUUUUACGGGCUGGGCCCAGCCCGGCCCAUGUGACUGGGCUGGACCUAGCCAGCCUGCAUAGGCCCGGCCCAGCCUAGUCACCGGCCCAUGCCAGUGACUAGGCCCUCCCUUCCGCACAUGCACACGUAUUAUUUUACGCGUGCAUAAACAGUGCGAAGAUAAUUAAAUUACCUUCGCACUGUUCAUCACCUUCCUUUGCAUUACAGUGCAUAAAAAAAACGUAAAAACAGAGUGUUGCAAAUGGUGGUUUCAGGUGUCGGUUUCCUUAUGAUUUUCUUUUCGUUUCUACAUAUUAACAUGCAUCAUCAUACAGGAACCGAGAAAAGCAGCAAACAUACCUGGUUUUGAGAAGACGAAGACGAUGGUGGUGUUGCGCUAUCUCUUCACCGUGUCCUCUACUUUCGUUCGGUUUGCUUCCUCUUCUCUCCCUUUUGCUCUCUCACUAUUUUUCCAAUCUCUCCUAUUUUCUUCCAUUCUCCUACCGCGAUACUCACCCCAUUGAUUCGAGAAUAGCUCCAUUAUCGCUGCUAACGUCUCCUUCCAUUAUCGUCACAGAUUCACAGCUGUUUGAAGACAGUGAAUGGUGGAAACGGCGCCGCUUGGGUUCUUCUGAUUUGGCCAUUGAAGUUUUUGCAGUUUUGUAAUCAAACCCUCGACAAAAUUGUAAUUGGAUCCCUUAAUGUUAGCGCCUUUUCUGGUUUGGUCCUUGGUCUCGGAUUGUUUCAAUUAAGUCCCUAAUUGGCCAUCAAACUUCAAUAAUUAUGCAAUUAAACCCCUGAUUUGACCAAAUCAACUCUUCAAAAUUAUAAUUGGACCCCAAAACUUUAAUUUCUUCCUAAUUAAAGCCUAAAUUGUCUUAAAAGAUCAAUUUUCUUGCAAUCAAACCCUCUAUAAAUUCAAUUAAACCUUGGAUAAAAUUUAAUUGAGUCCAUAAACAUCUGAUUUUGAACUUUUCUUUUUUUCAAAUUGAAUUUUCCUUAUCCCCAGGGCUCUCAUCAGUAAAAAAAUAUAUCGUCAAAUUUUAACCUUUUGCAUUUUUGAACCUCCUAAACUAAUUUUGACCUUUUUUCGGCAUUCCAACAUCCUUUUCUUACUUCUAUUAUUUUUUAUUUCUUUCGAUUUUUUUUUAUUUUCUUAUUUUUUAUGUGGGAACCCAAAAAUGGGUAACACCCCCUAUGCCCUGCUUGCAGAAUGAGUUAUUGUUUUGCAUGCAUGAAAAUAAAAGGGAAGGGGGGAGGCGAACAAAAGGAAGAAGGAAAGAUGGGUUAGCUAGCGUGGGGAGCUGCUGGUGACCUGGUCGAGAAUUCGGUGGAGAGGACGAUGGGUGGAAAUGCCAACACUAGUUACAAGAGGAGGGAGAAGGAGAGGAAGGAGAAGAGGGAGCUCGCGGUGGAGGAGCUGCUCGGUAGAGAGAGAAAAAUGAAAGAAAUUUCACAGUGGCAAAAAGGAAAGGGUGGCUAAUUUUCUCUCAACUUUGGACUUUAAAAUCCCCUUUCCUCAAGACAUGAAAUCCUCAUCUCUUUAUAAAGGUUGGAAUAGGGACAUUUGGUCUCCACUGGUGCCAAAUCUUGGCCCUUGGUUCGAUCCAGAAGCAUCUCAACUGUUGGCUCAAAAUAGCCAUCAUGGGUUGUUAGGUUUGUUACAAGAAAAGGGCUAGUUGAGUUGGUCACUUUGGGGUGAUGCCACCGCCUCUAUGGUGUCAAUUAGCCAGAACUAACCACACUGAUGUGUAGCUAGAUGUCGGUUGAUUAUUUUGGCAUAAGUUUUGUCUAAUUUGGUGGAGAAACAAAGUGUCAAAUACCUUGGGAAGUAGGCCACUCGAGUAGCUUUUCUGAAGAAAAAGAUGAACAAUUGCAACAAAAUGGAGUCGUUUUGGCCAAUUACGCUUUAGUCCUUUGAUUUAUGAUUUAUUCCUAAUUGCACCCUGAUUGGUUUCAAACUUUUAAUUUUGUGCAAUUGUACCCCUGACAAACUUCAAUUUAAGCCCCAGACUUCAACGCAUUUUUCACUUUGGUUCUUGAUCUCGAAUUUAUACAAUUUUACCUUUAAUUGACUAUCAAACUUUUAAAUUUCUCUAAUUUCAACCCUGAUUUCAGUCAAUUGGGUCCGCACAAUUCGGUGUCUUUUGCAAAAUGAUCUUUGGCUGUGAAUUUCUUCAAUUUAGCCUUGAAUUUACCCUAAAACUUUGAUUUUCUUGCAAAUUUACCCCUGAUUUCAAACAAUUGCCUUGGUAAAAAUAAAAUUUGAUCUCCUAAAAUUUCAAUCUUCUCAAUUAAGCUCAAAUUGGGCUUCCAAACUUAAUUUUCACCAAUUAAGCCCCUAAUAAAAUUAAUUUGACUAUUUUUAAAGUAUAAUUAAGUUUUUGCACUUAAUUAAAUCCUUUAAUUGGACCCAAAUUAAUUCUUAAACAUGAUUAAACUUUUAAUUUGGCCUAUAAUUAAAUCAAAUUAACCUAUUAAAAAUCUAAUUAUGUCCUUAGGCUUAAUUUUUAAGCAAAUUCAUCCGAUAAUCAUUUAAUUUUUCAUUCAAUCUACAUUGUUUCUUUAGUCUUGGGUAUAAUGGGGUACAAUUAGGCUUCGAAUUUAAUCCAAAAUUGUAGGUGGAUUUUAUGCAUUUUUUGGAAUCCUCCUCAACCUACUUUCUCCACGUCGCCUGUCUUUAUUUUAUUUUUUGAUUUUUAUUGAAGAAAACAAAAAGAAUUUGAGGAAUAACCUAGAAAUGGGUUAUGGCAAAUCUUACAAUUAGCUAUUCUUCAGUUUCUUGAGUAUCAUUGUGAAUCAUUACAUUGUAGAACUCUUAAGUAUAAUCAACCACACUCUUAUUGUAUAAUUUUUGGUAUUGAUGUAUAUAAUUUAAAAUUAAUUAGCUUUUGUAUAAAAUCAUGAUUCUCAAGUUUUAACUUGUUAUACCACACAUUCAAGCAAGUAAAAAGAAGAUAUAUUAUUAUUGUUGUUGUUGUUGUUGUUGUUGUUGUUGUUGUUCAUCUCAACCUUGGUUACAAU
rnacentral:lncRNA from 1 species